GCCUGUAAACUGCUUGUAAAAUUGCGCAGCCGUCAACGAAGAACAUCCAAGCCAGUUUCUCGUUAUCGUUGCUAUACUUCUCUAAUCCCUUUGGAUCAUAGCAUUUCUUUAAGUCAUCAAUCUCUUUCUUCAUGUUGUUGUACAACGUAUCCUUAUCGACGCCAAUUUUUUUGACGAAAAGUGCUGCUAAUUUGAGCUUGAGCUUCUCGGAUUUCCGGAGGGUGGGAUCAUCGUGGUGGAGUGGGCCGAUUGAGAUCACUUUCGGCUUGAAAUACUUCCUGAAAUCUUGGUGACGACCAAGGGUUGAUGGGACUCUUUGUAUCAAUGGUUUGGCACCGAGGUUGAUUUCGUCGCCGUCGAAAGCUUCGUCUAAUGACCGGAGAUUCGCUACUUCUCCAUCUCUAAGAGGGACGUCCAUAUCAAUGCUCACGGAAUCGUUGUUGUCGGUGAUUGCUUGAUCAGUGGAAACUGCUCCGACGGCGCCGCCUCCUUCCUCCGUGGAGAACAUUUUCAGGCUGAGCGGUUGGAAGUAAUAAAGAAGGUGAUUUUGUAAACUGCUUUUGGGUGAGUGAGUGAUGUUGGAGAAAAGGUGGCAAAGUGGAUACGAUGAUGGGAAAUAUUUUAUAGCUUACACGAUACACAUAUAUAUAUGGGAAAUACUUACACCGUGUUUGGUUUAGUGUAAUAGCUAAUCCAUUACGCCCCGAUUACGUGCCUAUUACAUUACUGAUCUAUUCCGGCGUUUGGUUCGCUGUAAUAGGUAUUACGCGCCUAUUACAAUACCGACCUAAGCCCCAAAUUCUCUGCUUUUCUAUUCCCUUCCCAAAUCCCAGAUUACCUAUUACGUCCGGCUUCCCUUCCCAAGUCUCUGUUUUACCCUCCCUCCCUACCCGAAAUCGACCUCCACCCUCUCCUUUUUCUGUCCUCAUCAUUUCUCCUCCCAUUUCACACUGCUUCAUUUUUUUCUCUCGGAGCACGUUUGGUUUUUGAAUAUUGAGGUAUGAAUCAACGUUUGGUUAAAAUGUUUAUGAUUUACUUGUUUAAAGUUUUCUAGAUCUUUUUCUAUAUCUAUAGUUUCUGCUAGUUCUAUUUCUUUGUUUUUCUUUUUGGUGCUAAAUACUCGCUCGAAUUAUUUUUUGAUUUGGAAUUAGGGUGUUUUCCGAUUAUAAUCUUACUAUUCUGAAAUCUUACUAAUGCUAUAUCGGUUACCCACAAUUUGUUCGUAACGAAAAACAUGGUUGGUAUUUUUUCCAGAUUUUCUGUUGGCAGGUCUGCCCAUCGACGCUCCAAGAGUGCCUUUGUAAGUUUCUAUAGCUUACAUAAAGAGGCGAAUAUAAGGGAAUGUAAAAUUGUUAUUUAGGCCCUUAACUUUAUUAAAAUUUCAAAUUAGUAAAGGUAAAAUUAUACUUUGGCCUCAUAAAAUUAUAAAAAUUCAAUUUAAUCUUUUAAAAAUUAUAAAGAUAUAGACUACAAAAAAUUAAAAUUUCAUUCUAUCCACCCUAAAAAAUUAUUCGGGCUUUGCUGCUACUUACAUAAUAAACAUAUGGAAAAUACUUUUGGUGUAAUUCAAAUUUACCCCUUAUAGUCAAUUUAAUUUUCAUUUUUUUUAAUUUAAUUUUCUAUCUUUUGGAAGAGUCGAACUUAACUAUCAAUUUAAAUUUAUGUUUUUUUAACGAAAAUAGUGACUAAAAUAUUAAAAUGUUAAACAUGACAACUCAAACGGCAAUCCACAUCUAUAUUUUUAUAUUCAUUUCUUAUUUUUUAAAUUAUUUAUUGACGUGACAUAUAAUAAAAGUAUUGUUAUGUUAGCAUGAAGUACACAUGAAUUGCCACACUAGUUGUGACACCAAUAUCGUUAAAAAAUUAAUAUUUCAGUUAGCAUAUUUGUUAAAGAAAAGUAAAUUGGUUCUUUUUUGAAAGGUUAAUGGUUAAAUUUAGCUCAAAUGAAAAAAAAUAAAGGCCAAUUUGAUAAAAAAAGGUAAAUGUCAAAAGUUAAGUUUAUCAUUUAUACAAGUAUAAAUAUAUGUCUGGAUUAAUCUAGAAAGAACCAGACAAACUCUACACGUGAUAUUCAAAUGUGACGAGAGGGAAAUCUACACAUCACAAUUGAGAAUAAUAUUAUAGAAAUACUCAAAAACCUAAAACCUUCCCCUUAACCAAGAAGCUAAGACGCUAUGGAUAAUUUUAUAUCUACAACACUUCAUGAAUUUCAUAUGCUUAAUAAGAGUUCUUUAAAUAUAUUCGAUUUUUAUUUUAUUAUUUAUAUUAUUUUGACUCAGUAUUUAAAUUAUCAUUAUGUUACAUGAUUUAUUUCAAAUAUUUUAUAUAUUUUUAUAACGAAAUUUGAAUUAAAAAAAUAUCAAUUUUAUUAUUAAAUUAUAAUUUGAUAUAUUUUGAGAUAAUGCAAUUUUAAGUAUUUCAAUUUAUUUAAUCAUUAUUUUUAAACUCGUUUUUUGUUUUGUUAGUAUUGCAUAAUUUUAACGUGUAUAUAUAUAUAUAUAUUUAAAGUUCUACUUAUUUUUAAGUUAUGUCAAAUAAUUGACAACUUUAUUAAAGUAUGCAUUUGAAUUUAUAAAUUUUUUUAGGUUGAAAUUAAAUUGUAUACUUUUACGAUAGUAAAAAUAUAAUUUUAUCAUUUUAAUUGCCUAUAUCGUUAUAAAUUUUAAAAUAUUAAAUCAAAUUUAUAUCAUUUUUGGAGGGUAAAGUAUAAUUUUAUCAUUACUAAUUUAAAAUUUUAUAAAUUAUAAAGGGGUCUAAAUAAUUUUUUUUUCAUUUUAAAGGAGACCAAGACUCUACAACCCUUGAAUUCGCCUCUAUCCAUAUAUUAUAUUUUAUUAAUCGAUUAUACAUGUAAACAUAUUUGUUUUUACUAAUACAUUUUAUUAAUCAAAUGGCUUUUUUUUUUUUACUGUUAAGUUAUCUUUUUUUAACUCCAUACAACAAAAUUUAUUUGCUCACAGUUUAACAUAUUUUUUUAUUAUUUCAGCAAUAAUAUUUUAUACUUAUCUAUAUAUCAAAUAUCAUGAUUCUCUAACAUUAUUAAGAUUAAAUAAAUAAAAUAUGUAUAUAUAUAAAUAAUGUUUUUUUACAAAAUUUUAAUUGUUUAAUCUCAAUAAUUUUCUUUUGCAACAUUAAAUCAUAUAAUACAUUUAGAAUAUUAAAAAUGUAUCAGAUUUUUAUUAAUAUAUACAUACAAUAAAUUUGUGUAUAGCAUGAGUAAACAAAUUAAUUAUUAAACUAUAAUUUGGCUCAAACUAAGUUAACCUUAACUUAAAAUUAGGUUAAAGUACUUGGGAUUUGGGACUUGGGAGGUUGGACUGGAUUAAAUUAGUCCUUCUGUUAUUAAAUGGAUCGAUUUAGUCCUUAUAUUAUUAAAAAGAAUCAAAUAAGUUCAAACUGAAAUAGAGUUAACAUUUACUGUAUAAAAAAUGUCUCGGCAAUUGCAAUUCAAUUCCAAACAGAAUGGUUCAUGUAUAUAACCAUAAGAACUUUUUAAAUAUUCACUUGUUAGACAAUAAUAGUAUAGGACUAAAUUGAUCCAUAUAUAUAUUAUUAAUAGAAAUGAGAAUUGUGCUUGGCCAAGUUUCUAAGUUUGGUAUUUGUUCUUACUUUCCUUCUUCAACCGUAGGAGCCACUCUCAUGACUUUUAUUUACUUUGCCAAGUUACUAAGUCAUGACUUUAGUAAAAGAUUUAGUUCCAUUUGUCGCUCCAACAUAACUUUUUUUUAACGAAGAUUCCAGUUAUAUCGAUAGGUAUACAUUGUUUCAAUAAUAAUUCGAAACAAUCAAUUUUAUUUUUUGCACAACGGUGGCGGGAGGUGGCAAGCAGGGGUAAAUGUAUAAGAUUAUAAAUUUCAAAGGUAAGAUUGUAAUUUGGCCCCAAAAAAUCAUAAGGCUUUAAUUUAGUUCUUUAAAAAAUUAUAAUGGUAUUAGCUAAUACAAUGAUGAAACUGUGUUUUAACCCUUAUCGAAAUUUAUAAUUUAAUUUCGGUCCCUCAAAUAAAAUUUUUGACUUCGUCCUUAUUUCCGCACUAGUAAAAAUUCUAAUCUAUAUCAUCUGCAACGGCCAAUACUAUAACAGUCUGAUUUUCAAUGGUAUCGGAAAAGAUGGUUUUGAAACCCCAUUUUCAUUGUCUGAGUCCAUAAAUAUUAAUAUUUAAUAUUUACAAGGCUAGUAUAAAAGUUUAUUGCAGUUUGGUCCAGCAAUUUUGUCUAAUUGAUAGUUAAAUAAGGUACAUGAACUAAAUUAUAAAAGUCCAAUCAAUAUAGGUUUUUAAUUAGCAAAGGACCAAAAGGGCUAUUAAACCAUCUUUUAUUAUAUGAUAGUGGAUAUAAACAAAUAUUAAAUUUAGUUAAUUAAACUUGAUUAUGAUUAAUUAAUCCAGUUUAAUUAAAUUCUAAUUAGACAAUAUAUACAAAUUAAGUGGAAAAAAUGAAAACAUUUUUCAUCUUCAUCAUCUUUGCUGAAUUUGAGAGACAGAAAAACCUAGAAAGCUUUCAUACAUUCGGUCCUCAAUUUCUAAGGCGAUUUAAGUUUUUUUCUUGUAACUUUUAUAUAUUUGAGGUUAUGGACGCUUCAUUUAUUUAGCUCAUGUAAUAAUUUGUAAAAUUGUUAAAGUUUUUGAAAGUUGCCGUUUUUAGUUUCUUGAAUAAAUAAAUAUUAAAUUAAUAGAUUUUAAGGUUAGAUGUGAAAAAGAAUUAAAUUAUAAAAUUUAAAUUGAUAAUUUUAAGCAAAAGGAUAAAAUUGUAUAAAUUGAAAAUUUGACGCUAGUUUUUUUAUAGUUUUAGAUAAUAGAGAGUUCUAAAAGAAUGUGAUUGAAAUUGAUUUCUGAUUUAGAGAUUAAAUUAAAUAAAAUAUGAAAUUUUAAAAAUAUCAUAAAAAUAAAAUUUAACUGACUCAUGCAUGCAUAUAACAAAAACUAAAAUUUUAAGGACACACCUUCAUGCAUUUCACUUCAUUAAUAACGAAAGAAGCAUGGCUACCUAGCUUUCUGCUUCAUCCAAAAUUGUUGAACUUUGGCCUAUAAUGCAAUAGUAGAGAAGCAAUGAAGCUCAACCAGUACAACAGCAACAUUUUGUUCAUAUGCAACUAGCUUUAGUUCUUUUGUAAUUUGUAUUUAAAGUUAGUAAGAUUAGUUGAUGAUUUGAAUAAUGUCUAAUGUGAUGUAAUAGUUGAUAUGCCAACUACAUUUUGUGUGUAAUUUAAGCUUUGUUUUAGUCAAGUUAUUAGUGGGAGCAGUUGUGUAUUAGGAAACUCUCAUGUAACUUAUAUGUUUAUCUUAAUGAAAAAUGCAUAUGAAAUUAGUUUUCAAGUUUCAUUUUUGUUCAAUUCUCUUUGUAUUCGUUUCUUGCUACUUUUCUCCUUUGUUUUCUAUCAAAACAUCAACAAAUGGUAUACAGAGCCUGUCAUUUUUGAGGGACUUUAUUGUUGGUAGUUGUUUUUGUGAGAAACCUUGAAGAAAAAGAAACUGAGGUUGUUGUUUUUAUUGUUGCUGCAAAAUGAGUUUUACACCACCACCACUACCACCUCUUUUUGCUGGUGAAAACUACCACAUUUGGGUAGUAAAGAUGAAGACUUACCUGCAAGCACAUGACUUGUGGAAUGUGGUUGAGAAUGACACAGAACCAGCUCCAUUGAGGGCCAAUCCCACUAUUGUAGAAAUUAGACAACAUUGUGUAAAGUGUGCUAAGAAGCACAAAUCUAUGUCAUGCUUAAAAAAUAGUGUCUGAUGUGAUCUUCACUCGAAUAAUGGCUUGUGACACUCCAAAGUAAGCCUCAGAGAAGCUGAAGGAAGAGUUUCUCGGGCCAGACAAGACUAGGCAGUAGCAGUUGAUCAACCUUAGGAAGGACUUUAAGAACUUGAAGAUGAGAGAGUCUAAAACAAUCAAGCAGUACUCUGAUAGGAUAAUGGCCACAGUCAACAACAUCAGGCUCCUUAGAGAUGAAUUCAGUGAGAGUAGAAUUGUUAAGAAAGUCAUUACAACCCUUCUUGAAAAAUUUAAAGCAAAAAUCUCCUCAUUAGAAGACUCGAGAGAUUUAUCAACCAUCUCACUAUCUGAGUUGAUAAAUGCUCUAUAUGCAUUAGAGCAAAGAAGGGCCAAUAGGAUGGAAGAGCAUCCUGAAGGAGCUUUCCAACUAGAAACCAAGGAAAGCUCAGGUUCAAGCUAUAAAGGAAAGAAACCAUGGCUUAACAAAAGGGAGAAACCAAAGAGGGAUGCAGGGAAGAAAAUGUUCCCACCAUGUAUUCACUGCAAAAGGUCCACACACUUGGAGAGGUAUUGCUGGUACAGACCUGAUAUUCAGUGUAAGAGCUGCAAGUAGUUUGGUCACAUUGAAAAGGUUUGCAAGAACAAAGGAACGACAUAAGCUCAACAGCAAAAUCAAGCUCAAGCUGCUGAGGAUAUUCAAGCUCAAGAGGAGCAUGUUUUCACUGCAUCCUAUUUUGCAACCUCAAGAAAAUUCAGAAGAGACUAGUUAGUAAACAGUGGCUGCACUCAUCAUAUGGCAUCUGAUGAAGGGUUAUUCAGAGAUCUUAACAAAAGAUUUGUUUCCAAAGUUAAGAUUGGAAAUAGAAACCUUAUUGAGGCCAGAGGCAAAAGCAAUGUUGUGAUCAACACACAUUCAGGUAACAAAAUAAUUUCAGAUGUUCUUUUUGUACUUGACAUAGACCAAAAUCUGCUUAGUGUUGGUCAAUUAAUAUAAAAGGGUUAUUCACUCAAUUUUAAGAACAACUCCUGUGUUAUUGGAGAUUCACUUGGUGAAGAAUUAGUUACAGUUGCUAUGACUGAGAGAUGCUUUAUGUUGGAUGUGAACCAGUUUGAAAUGAAGGCCUAUACUAGUCUUGCUGAUAAAGCUAGUUUAUGGCAUAAAAGGUUAGGCCAUGUCAAUUAUAAAUCACUCAGUUUGUUGCACAAACUCAAUUUGGUUGAAGACAUGUCCAAGGUUGAAGUCAAAGACAAAGUUUGUAAAAUUUGUCAGCUUGGGAAGCAAGUGAGAUUGCCUUUUCCAGUUAACAAGGCAUGGAGAGCUCGAGACAAGCUUCAAUUGGCCCAUACUGACAUUUGUGGACCAAUGAAGACCUUUUCUUUGAAUGAUAGCAGAUACUUUGUGCUAUUCAUAAAUGAUUAUACAAGGUUCUACUGGGUAAUUUUCUAAGACAAAAGUCAAAAGUACCUGAAGUAUUCAGCAAGUUCAAAGCCUUAGCUGAGAAUUAAUGAGGCUGUAAGCUUAAGGCCUUGAGAUUCAGUAAUUUGAUGAGGAAAAUGUAUGGAACUGGAAUGUUACAGAUGCAAACUUGAGUGAGGAAGGUCAACAAGAUAAUAAUCUGUAACCAGCUGAAGAAGAAGAGCCAAUUGCUGAUGAUUUUGAUGAUGUACCUGUGAAAGACACAAGAACCAUUACUGACAUCUAUCAAAGAUGUGAUGUUGCAAUACUGGACCUACAAAUUUGAUGAGGCUGCCAGAGAAUAGUGUUGGAAAAGGGCCAUGGAAGUUGAAAUGGAGAUGAUACACAAGAACAACAUUGGGAACUGGUUGACAGACCAGACCAAAAGAGAGUUAUUGGUCUGAAGUGGGUGUUUAUGGUUAAGUACAAUAUUGAUGGGUCUCUAAACAAACACAAGGCAAGACUUGUGGUGAAGGGAUACAGCCAACAGUAUGGCAUCGAUUUCAUAGAAACAUUUGCUCCAGUUGCAAGGUUAGUUACUAUAAGGCACUUGUUUUCCUUAGCUGCUCAAAAGAAAUGGAGAGUGAAUCAAUUGGAUGUUAAGUCUGCUUUUCUGAAUGGCUUCCUUAAGGAAGAAAUCUUCAUUGAACAACCAUAUGGGUUCAAGAUUCCUCAUGAAGAGAAUAAGGUCUACAAGCUGAAAAAGGCUUUGUAUGGUUUGAAGCAAGCACUAAGGGCCUGGUAUGACAGAGUUGGUGCAUAUCUGUCUAGGCUCAGUUUUGAGAAGAGUAUCAGUGAGCCUACUCUCUAUGUGAAGAAAUCAAAAAAUGAAACCCUGUUGAUUAUGUCACUUUAUGUAGAUGAUCUACUAGUAAUUGGAAGCGAGGGGAAGCUGAUUGAAGAGUUUAAAAUAUAGAUGCAAGAUGUCUUUGAAAUGAGUGACUUGGGGGAAAUGACUUACUUUCUUGGCAUGAAAGUGAAUCAGUUUGAUCAUGCCAUCUUCAUAAGUUAGCAAGCUUUUGCCAUAAAUAUUUUAAACAAAUUUUGCAUGUCAAAAUACAAAAUUUUUAGCACACCAGUGGCUCAAGGUGAAAAAGUAACCAACCUUGGCAACCAUGAAAGAGUUGAUGAGAAGGUGUAUAGAAGCCUUGUAGGUUGUCUACUCUACUUGACAGCUACAAGGCUUGAUAUCAUGUUUGUUGUUAGCCUUCUGUCCAGAUUCAUCCAUUGUCGCAAUGUUGUUCAUUUUAAGGCAGCCAAAAGAGUUCUUAGAUAUGUGAAAGGGACUUUGGAUUAUUGAGUGAAAUUUGGGAAGACAAACGAACUCAAGUUGAUAGGGUAUUCUGAUAGUGAUUGGGCAGGUCCAUUGAUGACAUGAAGAGCACAUCUGACUAUUUCUUCACUCUUGGCUAAGGUGUUUUUUGUUGGAGUUCAAAGAAACAACAAAUAGUUGCUUAAUCAAUAGCAGAAGCAGAGUGCAUUGCAGCUGCUGUAGCUGUUAAUCAAGCCAUUGGUUUAGGAAGCUCUUAUGUAAUUUGAAUGAAGAUCAAGUUGAAGCUACUAAUAUUAGAGUUGACAAUAAGUCAGCUGUUGCCAUAGCAAAAAAUUCAGUAUUUCAUGGCAAAACUAAGCAUUUUAAGAUUAAAUUUUAUUUUGUUAGAGAGGUUGAACAAUCAAAAGAAGUUAAUUCAAUUCAUUGCAGCUCAAAAAACCAGCUUGCCGAUAUUCUAACUAAGUCUCUCGGUGCUAUAAGAUUUGAGAACUUAAGAAGAAGUAUUGGUGUUUGUUGCAUAUAGUCCAAGGAGGAGUGUUGAACUUUGGCCUGCAAUGCAACAGCAGAGAAGCAUUGAAGCUCAACCAGCACAGCAGCAACAUUUUGUUCAUAUGCAACUAGCUUUAGUUCUUUUGUAAUUUGUAUUUAAAGUUAGUAAGAUUAGCAGAACUGGAUAUUGUCGUAUUUGAUUAUAAAAAGGUGUCGGCUGGAAUUUAAUUCUCAUUGAGUGUUUUUUUAUAAAAUAACUUGAAAAUUUUUAUUAAUUAUAAAAAUGAUAUUUUUUAUUAGGUAAUAAAUAAUAAAACUGAGUGAAAUUAAAGAGAUUAGUGCCACAUCAACCAAUCAUUAACUGUUAAAAUUAAAAAAAUUAUUUUUUGAAUGAAGCCAACCCAUAUCGCAUCAUUGCGGCAGAAAGCAAUAAAGUAUGCACUAAUCAAUUGUUUUUAAUUGCUAAUAUUUAGUGAUAAAAUAAUAUUUAAUUAUCGAAAUUUGAUAAUAGUAACGAAGUUGAAAAAGGUUUUACAAUUUAGUUUUGAAAUAUAUAUUUUUAUUGAAGUUAAACUGUAAUUUAAUUAUAUUGAUUUGUAAUUUUACAUUGUUUAAAGGGACUAGAUCAAUUUUUUAUUAUUUUGGAGGUCAAUAUGCAAUUUAACAUGUAAAAUUUCAACUUUCAAGGAGACUCAAAGCAUAAAUUAACAUUUUAGGGGACCAAGGUCUUGCCUACCCCUUGUCGCCACCCCUCAUUGGUAAUUUAACUACUUCGGCCUUUGAAUUUUUUUGUCUAAAUUUAUCCUGAAAUUUGAUAGUUUUUCCUAAUGUAGUCCUUGAACAUUGGUCUAUGCUACAUCUUAGAUUUUUUUUAAAAAAUUUUUUAAAUGAUGACAUGGUUUUUUAAUAGAAUUUAAGUUCAAGAAUUAAAUUUAAAAAAUUGUUAAGUUCAAAGGCUAAAUAUUACAUUAUCCUUAAUAUUUGUUACCCGGUUUUAGAAGUCCAUUGAAUUUCUUGCCUGUUUACUUUUGUUAUUAACCAUUGCUUUGUUCUUCUUUGUUUAAUUUUAGGUCCCAUAAUUGAAAAAAGAAUGGAUGAGAAAUUUCUAAAAUCAUUAGAAACAAGAAAAUAUGAUCUCAAAUCCAAUGAAGCAUUGAAGCUCAACUAGUACAGCAGCAACAUUUUGUUCAUAUGCAACUAGCUUUAGUUCUUUUGUAAUUUGUAUUUAAAGUUGGUAAGAUUAUUUGAUGAUGUGAAUGAUGUCCAAUGUGAUGUAAUAGCUGAUAUGUCAGCUACAUUUUUUGUGUAAUUUAAGCUUUGUUUUAGUCAAGUUAUUAGUGGGAGAAGUUGUGUAUUAAGAAACUGUCAUGUAACUUCUAUGUUUAUCUUAUUGAAAAAUGUAAAUGAAAUCAGUUUUCAGGUUUCAUUUUUGUUCAAUUCUCUUUGGAUCCGUUUCUUGCUUCUUUUCUCCUUUGUUUUCUGUCAAAACACCAACAAAAAUUCACAUGUAUACAAAUUAGGACAACGUAAGUGGUCACUGAACAGCCCUAUUUAAAGAAGAAUAUACCAAAAUAAGACAAACCUAAGACCUGAACACUGACCUCAUGUGCUGCAAAGCUAUAAGAUGUUCUGAAAUUACGAAAAUCUUGUUAACAUUAAUGGAAGACAAUUAAUAAUGGUUGCCAUUAACAUUAAUGGGAGACAAUCAAUAAUGACAACCACCAACUUUGGAAAAGUGGCAAGGGAUAAUUUUUUUUGGUCCUUGAGAUAAUGGGCUAUUUAUUGUUUGGUCCUUGAACCUCAACUAUAAAUAGGUCUUCUCAUUUCUCAUUUCAAUUCAUCCCAACCAAUCUUUCUCUCUUAGUUUUCUCUCUUCUCCCAUUUGAGAAUUCUUAAGGAAUUCUAUUUGUUUGUAAUACUUUGAAGAUAGUAAAGUUAUCAUCUGGUGUUAGUGCCCGAGGACGUAGGUAUAAUUUACCGAACCUCGUUAAAACUCUUGUGUUCUUUAUUGUCCUAUUUUUCUUUCAAUAUUUGAGGGUAUAAUAGUAGUAUUUAAUUGUGCUAUUAAAUUACUAUAGAAGGGAUAUUCUGUCUAAGGAAAGACUUGGUAUUUAAGAGAUCCAUGUGAUCCACCUCUCUUCCCUGGGAAUUGAACUUUGUGUGAUUUUUAGUACAAUAAUUUAUACGCUUCCAACCCUAUUGGAACUACAAGUGGUAUCAAGAGCCGAAGGUUAAUCGUAGUAUGCUCUGUGGUUGCAGUUUAAACUGAUCUUCCACAUCAGAAAAGAUUUCCUUAGGUAUAUUGAAAGAUUAUGGAGAAAACGGUCGGUGUAGGAGCUUCAACAUCGUCCAUGUGGACAAGACCGACAAUUGCAAAUGCAAGAUUGGCCGUAGAGAUCUUUGAUGGCACGGGCCAUUUUGGUAUGUGGCAAAGUGAGGUUCUAGAUGCCCUUUUUCAGCAGGGUCUAGACAUUGCCAUUGAUGAAGAGAAACCAGAUGAUGUACAGGAGAAAGAUUGGAAAGCGAUCAAUCGGUUGGCAUGUGGCACAAUUCGAUCAUGCCUUUCUCGAGAGCAGAGGUAUGCUUUUUCAAAAGAGACUUCUGUAAAUAAGUUGUGGGUGGCACUUGAAGAUAAUUUUUUGAAGAAAAACAGUCAAAAUAAGCUCCACUUGAAGAAAAGACUGUUUCGCUUCACAUACGUCCCAAGUACCACAAUGAAUGAUCACAUCACCAAAUUUAAUCAGUUAGUCACUGAUUUGCUGAAAAUGGAUGAGACAUUCAAAGAUGAAGAUUUGGCUUUGAUGCUGUUGGGGUCACUUCCUGAGGAGUUUGAGUUCCUAGAAACUACUCUACUUCAUGGCAGGAGUGAUAUAUCUCUGAGCGAAGUCUGUGCGGCCUUAUACAGUUACGAACAGAGAAAGAAGGACAAACAGAAAAACUCAAUCAGAGAUACAGAAGCUUUAGUAGUCCGAGGUCGUUCAUACACUCGGAAGAAAACUCAAAAUGGGAGAUCAAAGUUAAAGUCCAGACUCGGGAAAGAUGAAUGUGCUUUUUGUCAUGAGAAAGGCCACUGGAAGAAAAAUUGUCCAAAGCUGAAGAAUAAGGGAGAAGCUGCUGUAGAUGCUUGUGUUGCUAAGCAUGAUACUAGUGACUCUGAACUAUCACUGGUUGCAUCAUCAUCGUCAUUCCAUUCAGAUGAGUGGAUAUUGGAUUCGGGUUGUACCUAUCAUAUGUCCCCUAACCGGGAGUGGUUCUCUGAUUUAGUAGAACUAAAUGGAGGAGUUAUUUAUAUGAGCAAUGACAAUGCCUGUAAAACUGUUGGGAUAGGUUCAAUCCAAUUAAAGAAUCAAGAUGGAUCAACCAGAGUUCUGACUGAUGUUCGGUACGUUCCCAGUUUGAAGAAAAAUCUCAUCUCAUUGGGAGCCUUGGAAUCCAAUGGUUCAGUUGUUACUAUGAGAGAUGGGAUUUUGAAAGUGACAUCUGGCGCACUUGUGAUAUUGAAGGGCAUCAGGAAAAAUAACUUGUAUUACUACCAAGGUAGUACAGUUAUUGGAGCAGUCGCUACAGCUUCCGGUAACAAAGAAUUGGACUCAAUGCAGUUGUGGCAUAUGAAGUUGGGACAUGCCAGCAAAAAAUCCUUGCAAAUUCUGGCAAAGCAAGGAUUGUUGAAAGGUGCAAAGGCUUGCAAAUUAAAAUUUUGCGAGCAUUGUGUUCUGGGAAAGCAAAAGAGAGUGAAAUUCGGUACUGCUAUCCAUAAUACAAAAGGUAUUUUGGAAUAUGUUCACUCAGAUGUGUGGGGGCCUUCCAAGACACCUUCAUUGGGAGGAAAACACUACUUUGUUACUUUUGUUGAUGACUUUUCCAGAAGAGUUUGGGUGUAUACCAUGAGAACUAAGGAUGAAGUGCUUAGAGUUUUUUCUUAAAUGGAAAACUAUGAUCGAAAACCAGACUGGCAAGAAAAUCAAGCGGCUUAGGACGGACAAUGGAGGGGAAUAUAAAAGUGAUUCGUUCUUCGAUGUGUGCCAAGAGUAUAGUAUUGUUCGACACUUCACAGUUAGGGAUACACCACAACAGAAUGGAUUGGCAGAGCGUAUGAAUCGAACAUUGCUAGAGAAAGUUCGAUGUAUGUUGUCCAAUGCUGGGUUGGGCAAGCAAUUUUGGGCUGAGGCUGUGACAUACGCUGGCCAUCUUGUUAAUCGUUUGCCAUCAUCUGCAUUAGAAAGAAAAACUCCUAUAGAGGUAUGGUCUGGAAAACCGGCUACAGAUUAUGAUUCCUUACAUGUGUUUGGAACCACUGCAUAUUACCAUGUGAAGGAGUCAAAGUUAGAUCCGAGGGUAAAGAAAGCUCUCUUUAUGGGAAUCACUUCUAGAGUGAAGGGAUUUCGUCUUUGGUGCUUAAGCACAAAGAAAAUGAUCUGUAGCAGAGAUUUUACCUUUGAUGAAUCUGCCACAUUGAAAAAGGUAGCAGAUAAAGAUAUUCAGACGAGCAAUACUCCACAGCAGGUGGAGUGUACUCCAAAACAGGUGGAGUUUGAGCAGAUGAGGAUUUGCCCAGUUAAUAAGUCUAAUUCUCCAGCCACAAUAGAGGAAUUAGAGGUUGAAGAGGUUCUGACCCAAGAACCACUAAGUACACCAGAACCAGUUGCAGUUGCAAGGCCACGGAGAGAAAUUCGUAAACCUGCUCGAUUUACUGAUAUGGUGGCCUACGCCCUUCCCGUUGUUGAUGAUAUUCCUAUCACUUAUCAAGAAGCAAUGCAAAGCUUAGAAAGUGAUAAAUGGAAAAGCGCCAUGGAUGAAGAAAUGCAGUCUCUCCGAAAGAACAAUACUUGGGAGUUGGCGCAAUUACCGAAAGGUAAAAGGGCAAUCGGAUGCAAGUGGGUAUUCGCAAAGAGAGAUGGAUCUCCUAGCAAGAAGGAUAUUCGCUACAAGGCAAGAUUGGUAGCUAAAGGCUACGCUCAGAAGGAGGGAAUUGACUACAAUGAUGUAUUUUCCCCUGUUGUGAAGCAUUCCUCCAUUAGAAUUUUGUUGGCCUUGGUAGCACAGUUGAAUUUGGAGCUAGCUCAACUUGAUGUUAAGACGGCUUUCUUGCAUGGUGAGUUAGAAGAGGAGAUCUAUAUGACUCAGCCCGAAGGAUACACAGAUGCUGGUGGUAGAAAUUGGGUUUGUAAGCUUAACAAAUCGCUAUAUGGAUUGAAGCAAUCCCCGAGGCAGUGGUACAAGCGAUUUAAUAGCUUUAUGAGAAGGCAAAAGUACACAAGAAGCAAAUAUGACAAUUGUGUGUAUUUGCAGAAGCUGCAUGACGGAUCUUUCAUUUAUCUACUCUUGUAUGUUGAUGAUAUGUUAAUCGCUUCGAAGAGCCAAAAAGAGAUAGAUAAGCUGAAGGCUCAGUUGAAUCAAGAGUUCGAGAUGAAAGAUCUAGGUGAGGCCAAGAAGAUUCUCGGCAUGGAGAUAAGUAGAGAUAGACAGAGAGGCAAGCUUUGUUUGAAUCAGAAGCAAUAUCUGAAAAAGGUAUUACAAUGUUUUGGUGUAAAUGAAAACACAAAACAUGUAAGUACCCCACUUGUUUCUCAUUUGAAACUUAGUGCUCAAUUAUCUCCGAAAACUGAAGAAGAAAGAGAAUAUAUGGCAAAAGUCCCAUAUGCUAAUGCAGUUGGGAGUUUGAUGUAUGCGAUGGUGUGUACGCGGCCUGACAUUUCACAAGUUGUUGGAGUUGUGAGCAGGUAUAUGCAUGAUCCUGGAAAAGGACAUUGGCAAGCUGUGAAAUGGAUUCUACGGUAUCUUCGAAAAACCGUAGAUGUUGGUUUAAUUUUUGAACAGGAUGAAGCACUUGGUCAGUUUGUAGUUGGAUAUGUUGAUUUCGACUUUGCUGGUGAUUUAGAUAAACGUCGUUCAACUACGGGGUAUCUGUUUACUCUUGCGAAAGCCCUAGUGAGUUGGAAGUCUACCUUACAGUCUACAGUAGCUGUGUCUACUACAGAGGCAGAAUAUAUGGCAGUUACAGAAGCUGUUAAGGAGGCUAUUUGGCUUAAUGGAUUGUUGAAAGACUUAGGAGUUGUUCAAAGUCACAUAAGUUUAUAUUGUGACAGUCAGAGCGCUAUUCAUUUAGCGAAAAAUCAAGUCUAUCAUUCAAGAACCAAGCAUAUCGACGUAAGAUAUCACUUUGUGCGGAAAGUCUUUGAAAAAGGAAAAAUUCUACUUCAGAAGAUUCCGACAGCAGAUAAUCCCGCAGAUAUGAUGACCAAGGUGGUAACAACAAUCAAGUUUAAUCAUUGUUUGAACUUGAUUAACAUCCUGAGAAUUUGAGCACCUUCAGGUGUAUGGCGCUCGAGAGCGCAUUUGUAGGCACUACAAAAGAUAGCUUUAUCGAAUUUGGGGAGUUGAAGGAAGUGUGUGAAGAUGUGAUUAUCCUAAUCAAAUCUUCAAGGUGGAGAUUGUUAACAUUAAUGGAAGACAAUUAAUAAUGGUUGCCAUUAACAUUAAUGGGAGACAAUCAAUAAUGACAACCACCAACUUUGGAAAAGUGGCAAGGGAUAAUUUUUUUUGGUCCUUGAGAUAAUGGGCUAUUUAUUGUUUGGUCCUUGAACCUCAACUAUAAAUAGGCCUUCUCAUUUCUCAUUUCAAUUCAUCCCAACCAAUCUUUCUCUCUUAGUUUUCUCUCUUCUCCCAUUUGAGAAUUCUUAAGGAAUUCUAUUUGUUUGUAAUACUUUGAAGAUAGUAAAGUUAUCAUCUGGUGUUAGUGCCCGAGGACGUAGGUAUAAUUUACCGAACCUCGUUAAAACUCUUGUGUUCUUUCUUGUCCUAUUUUUCUUUCAAUAUUUGAGGGUAUAAUAGUAGUAUUUAAUUGUGCUAUUAAAUUACUAUAGAAGGGAUAUUCUGUCUAAGGAAAGACUUGGUAUUUAAGAGAUCCAUGUGAUCCACCUCUCUUCCCUGGGAAUUGAACUUUGUGUGAUUUUUAGUACAAUAAUUUACAUGCUUCCGACCCUAUUGGAACUACAAAUCUUUGUUCUUUCAUUGGGUUUCUUAUCUUCCUUUUACACAAUUAAAAACCCAUAUAUAAUUUUAAAAAUACUUUCAGGCUUCUUUGUCUUGCUAAUUUCUGUAGAAAAUUACUGGUCUAUCACUGCCCCAAAGGUUCCAGCAUUUGAAGCACAAGAUAUUGGCACAUCAUAUAAGUUCUAAAUUUGUCACCAACAACUGACAAAACUGAGUAGAAUUACAUUAAUUAUGCUUAACAUUACACUUCAGGCAUACAUGCAAUUAAAAGUAAAAUCGAAAUAACACUAAACAUACUCGGAGUCGGAGGUGAAGAGGCGGUUGAAAGAGCGCGGAUUAAAGAGAAGAGGACUGGCGAGGUGGCGGGUAUUGAGGGCAAUGGAUGAGUGUUUUGAGGUGGGUUUUGAAAGAGCGUCUGAGGGAAAGCGAUAGAAACAUGGUGGAAGAAAGGAAGAGUUAAUGGAAGGAAAAUUUUAGGGUUUUGUUCUUUGUAUGAGAUCAUUUCAUAGAAUUGAUUAAGAAAGGAAGCAUCUAAGGAAGGAAAGGAGCUUAUUAGUGUUGUUUUCCGGUUUGGAUGUUUGGUUUAUUUUAUUAUUCAAAAUUAAUUUUUUUAAAACAAUGAAACAAGUUAUUUGAACCAGAUGGGUUUGAGACUAGGUUUGAUUUUUCUUUCUAGAGUCAGAACAUAGGCUUGAUGUAUGAAUACUUUUAAUUACAAUUGUAUUUGAGCUGUGAUGAUAUUCAACUAAAGCCCUCUCAAUAAUAAUAACUCUAAAUUUAAACUUAAAAAUAACUUUGAGCUAAUCUUGAUCGAUUACUCCAAUCACACAACACGAAUAACUAAAGCUUCCUCAACCUCAACAAAUGUUAUAGUGUCAAGAUUGAACAAACUGUCUCCUAGUACCCUAUUGAUUAGGCAACUUUGAUGUUGAACAUCCCACAAAAACAUGAAAAAAAGAAAAGAAAAAGAAUCACAAUUAUAUUUAACUCAUGCAACAAGUUUCACCUUUUUUUUUGUGAGAAAAAGAUCAAGCCACUAUUAGGGAGUCUUGGGCUUCUAGUUGAAGCCUGUGAAUCAUUAGAAUAAGAAAAUUCAUGUAAUGCUUAUUGCCAAAUCACAAUCUCGUCAGAAUUGAGGUUUUUCAAAAACAAAACAAUUAACAAAUAUUUAUGGCCUGAAACCUUAACCUACCCUAAUAGAAAGGUAAAAGAACAAUGUGCUCAAUGGAUUUCACUUCUUCCCCACACCUCGGUCAAUGAGGAUCCACCUCCUUAAACAUUUUGGCAAUGUUUUGUUUAGUAGUAACACAUUGUGGCAAGACCUCCUAAGGAGAUUUUUGAUAUUUAUUAUCACAUUAAGCUCUCAUGAAUGAUUUAAACCUUUCUAAGACAAAUCAUUGUUAGCAUUUUAUCCGUUUGGGGCCGCAUAUGAGAGAGGUAGAGAAAAGAGUCACUCGUACCCAUAUCAAAUGUUGUAAGAUUCAUCUUCCGAAAAAUGCCACACAAAUUUAUCUCGCUUAGUAGGGGACCUAAUAAGGAUUUUCUCAAUAACCUUAUGUUUAUUUUGGCUAAAACAUUGUUGUAGUAAAUCGCUCUUCCAAAUCCACAAGUCCAGAUCAAUCAGGUCCUUAAACAAAAUAAGGCUUAUCUCAAAGGAGGAAAGGAUGGAAUAUAUUCAAAAAGAUUACAAGUCGAGGACCCAUUGAUCAUGUGAAACCAUAAUGUCCUAGUCACUUUUGAAUUCAAUUUGGUUGCAAGAUUUUUAGUUAAAUUAAUAAUUCAAAAUUUUAGUAGGUAUCUUUCAUGUCUGAUGUACGAUUUUUGAAGACUAAUCUUUUUAGGAUUCGUGGUUACCCCUUCCAACGAUAUUAUUAUAUCUAAGGUUUAAAUAUGAAUUUUUUUCUUAGGAAUACAAUAUGCCUCCCCUUCUCAAUUUUUGUUCAUUGUUAAUUGAUCAUUUAAAUAGGAAUGCAUUUGUUUUAAACCUUGGUAAUUAGUUGGGUCUAGUGAACUUUAGGAGCUUAUUCUAUGCAUGUAACUCCCAACAUCCAUUCUUAAGAAUUCGAUGAUUGAAAUAUUUGGUUUCAAAAUUACUUCAAUUGUAAUUAUUACUUGAUUGUGGUACAAAAUUUUUGUUACAAUGUUUAGAACUAUUUACAACUCCUCCUUAACAUUUAAUAAAAGGAUAAAGGCACUUUAGCACGCUUCAACCCACAUAUCCUUCUAUACUAACAACAAUGUUGAUACUAAAUUAAAACUCAAUUUAACAAUUGUACAUAUUUUUAGGUUAAAUAAAUUUUAAGUACACAUAUUGCUGUUGUGAUGUAAGUAUUUAGGAUAAAUCACUGCAUUGUUAGACAAAUUGACCCAGACUAUAAAUUGUAUAUACAAACAAAAUUAAAGAGCAUUGGUAAAAUGUACAAAAAAAAUUGAGUAACAUUCAAUAUUUAUAAUAAAUAAAACACAAAUAUAAUAUACAAAGCUUUGAUGCCUUGAAUCUUUAGGGCUCUUCAAGCAGCCUUUAAUUUUUGUGAUUGGAUGAGUCUUGGCUGCCGCAAAUUGAAGAAGAAAAAUAUAUAAAAGCAUUUCAGAACAAAUACACACAAAAUAAGCUUCUGCAUGUAAGAAACUUAUAUAAGUUCGUUUCGGGUUUCACAAGUUUAAUCUUUUUAAGUUUGAGAUUUUAAUUUUUGAAUUGCAUCAUUACUAAUAAAAUUAUUUUAAGUAUAAAUUAUUCAGAUUAUUUUGAAUUCAAAUAAAUGUUUUGUUUGAAUCAAUUUAUAUUUGGGCCAAUAAUAAAUGGGUUUAAAUAGCUGAUUUUUUAUGGUCAAAGUGAGUUAAUUAGUUAAAUUUUCGGAUUCAUGUUAGAAUUGACACAUUUAAUUAAAAAUAUUUAAGCAUUAAAAUAAUCAAAAAGUCCCUAAGUUCAACUUACGGACGAAAAUUUAUAUUUUUACUUAGACUUCCCGAUUUUUUCAAAUUCUUAAUUAAGCCUCACAAUAAGUAUUGAAAUUUUCAAAAUUUUCAAAAUUUUCAAAACUUGCCUUUAAUUUUCUCAAAAUUCUUGAUUAAAUCUCUUAAAUUUUAUUUUCGAAAAAAGAAUUUCAUUAAACACAAAAAAUUAAAUAGAUUGAAUCCAACAUCUAGGAGUUACAAAAUUCUCAUAAAUAACAAGAGUUUACAAAAAGACUAGUAAACAAAACUUACUUUUGUUGAUGUAUAGCAUAAUAAGUCUGCAAAGCACCAAGCAAAAGUGCAGUAAUGGCACCCACAAAUGCCAAAAACGUCCAAGGACUCCUAAAAUAAGUAUGAUAACCUUGAGCUGCAUGCUUAAUCCACGUAGUCUUACAAUGAUCAUGUAUUUUCCGUUUAACCCCACUGUAAAUCGGACUAGGAACCAAAUCAGUGUUCAUCUUAUUGAAAAGCUUAGCCACUUCUUCAUCACUCCCCAAUCUAUUGUAUAGUAUGCCGGCGUCUCUCAGGUCUUUAACAUCUUCGGCUUCAUCAAUCAAUAAAUCAAGGAAACACAUAUAUGAAGUGACGGUGAAAUCGUUGUCGAAAUCCGGACACAUUUCGUAAGCUAUUAAGUUCAUGGUUGAAUCAUCGACGGAGAUCGGCGGUAAACAUAAUUUUCCGACGAAUAAGAUACGGUUGAAACUGAUGUCGGUUAAACAACUUGUUUCGCUGGCUUUUAACGAUAUCCCGACUUUUUUAAGCUCUUUUACGUUAUGAAUGGUGUGUGAAUGGCACCAUUUUGUUCCUUCUUCUUUUCUACGUUCUUGUUCAUUUGAACACGGAAAACCCCACCGCCGUGGUUUUUCUUUUUUGAAAAGGAGUCUUACUCGUAGUAGAUGCAAUAAGUGAAUUCGCUCUCCUUGCUUCUACUUCCGCCACCAUUCAUCGGAGCAAAAUCUGUAUCAGUCGAAGCAAACCUAUAAAUUUUUUUGGGGUAAAUUACACUAACAGUCACUCAACUUUGGGGUAGCUAACAAAACAGUCACUCAAGUUUCAGUUCAGUCACUGAACUUCUAAAAAAUAACAAAAUAGACACUAAUGUUAUUGAAAAGUGAUAAAUCAGUCACUCAUUAACAAUUGUCAUCACAGGCUUAAUGUGGUCAAUUAACUAGUUGAUGUGACUAGUUAACUUGCCAUGUUGGACAAGUAGUCAAAGGGUCAAAAAGAAAAAAAGAUGAUUAGUUAAGGGUAAAAAGAAAAAUAAGAGAAAUGGAGAAGAAGAAGAAAAGGAGGAAGAAGGGAAAAUGGAAGUCAAAGGGUCAAAAAGAAAAGAAAAGAUGAUUGGUUAAGGGUAAAAAGGAAAAUAAGAGAAAUGGAAAAGAAGAAGAAAAGAAGAACAGGGUAGGAAGAAGGGAAAAUGGAAGGAGCUUCCAAGCUUCAUACCAACGAUUCCCAAGGGUCAAAAUCUGGGAAUUUGGAUUUUGAUCCUUGGGAAUUACUGUUACGAAGUCCUUCCAUUUUCUCCUCUUCUUCUUUUCUUCUUUUUCUCCAUUUCUUCUCUUAUUCUUCUUCUUUUUUUUGUUCUUCUACUGCCCAAACUUCUUAAAUGGGUUUGUUUAAAUGACAGCUAGCCUACCCUUAAAUGUCAUGUCACUUUUUCGUUACGUCUGUAACGAAAAAUGGUUAAAAAGACUGUUUUGUCAGCUACCCCAAAGUUGAGUGAUUAUUGCUAUAAUUUACCCUAUUUCUUAUUUGAAAUUGUAAAUUUUUAACCAGCUAAAUUUAAGGUUUUCAAAACCCAACUCGUUAAGUUAUCGAUUUAUAAUUCUAAUUGGUCUAAUGAAUUCAUCCGAUUAAUUAAAUUAAUUAUUAAAAAUUUUCCAUUUGAUUGCCCAAUUCAAUUAAUUUUUUUUGGUUCAACCUGUUCAUAUAGAUUCUCAAAUCAAUUGGUCCAAUGACUUCCUUCAGACUAAUACCUUAAUUAAUUUCCAAUCCAAAUCGAUUCAAAUAAUAUUGGCUAAAAUACAAUUUUUAUUAUUUUAUUAAUGCAAAAAUUUUACCAUUUUAAAGAUAUUAAAAUAUAAAAUUUCUAUUUUAAAAAGUUGGAUUUGAAAUCAUAAUUUUUUUUCUAAAGAAAUGUACACUCAACAGGACCAAAGGAAUUGGCAGGGAAAUUUUGUUUUAUGGACCGUUUUCAUCACAAAUGAUCUUAUCAAAUUAAAAGAGGAUAGAUCAUCUUUUUUUUCAUAUCAUAUAUACAUUGGGACUAAACUUCCAAAUAAAAAAUAAUGUGUCUUUUUUUAAUUGAGUGGGACCAUAGAUGAUGUGGUGAAAAUGGUCCAUUAAAUAAUUUAUCACAAGCAAGAGUAAUUCCAAAAAUAGAAAAUUACAUUUUAAUUCUUUAAAAAUUAUUAAAUUAUAAAUUUAUAUAUAAUAAAAUUACACUUUGACCCUCAAAAUGGAAAAAAUAUUUUGUUCAGUCUUUUUAAAAAAAUAUGAACUUAUAAAUCAAUACAUGAAAAAAUUUAAGGAUUCGACAAAACUUAUCGGUCAGGCUAGUUGUUGAGAAAAUUGAACAAGGUAUUGAUCCAGAAUAAGAGAUUAGAUUAGAUGAAUUGAGUCAUCGAAUGGAUUUUCUUUAUAUGUUUAAUAUAUCUUUAAUAUUUUCAAAAACUUAUAUAACUGAAUCGAAUAAACUAAUCAAUCAAAAUUAAGAGUAAUCAAUGUAAAAACCUUUUAACAUUUAUAACCUCGACAAAAUGAUUUUUUUAUUUAUUUUUAAAUUCCUUAAAUUACCUGUCCUCGGCUGGGGUGAUAACAGUGUCGUCGAUGAACCUUAUGAUUGCAUUCAUGAACUGUUCGCCAUCACUCGAGCUAGUAAGCAAUUCAAGAACACGAAAAGGUAUUUGGUUCUCCAACAAUAACAGAUCCGAGUACACAAAUGUAAGCAAAUCGUUUUUAAUAAACUGGCCAUAAAUUUUACAAAUAUCAUCACCGUAACGCAUAUAAACUGCUUGUAAAAUUGCGCAGCCGUCAACGAAGAACAUCCAAGCCAGUUUCUCGUCAUCGUCGCUAUACUUCUCUAAUUCCUGUGGAUCAUAGCAUUUCUUUAAGUCAUCGAUCGCUUUUUUCAUGUUGCUGUACAAGGAAUCCUUAUCGACCUUAAUGUUUUUGACGAAAUGUGCUGCUAAUUUGAGCUUGAGCUCCUUGGAUUCCUGGAGGGUGCGAUCAUCGUGGUGGAGUGGGCCGAUUGAGAUCACUUUCGGCCAGAAAUACUUCUUGAAAUCUUUGUUACGGCGAAGGGUUGAUGGGACUUUUCGGAUCAAUAGAUUGGAUUUGAAUUUGGGUUGGCCGCCCUCGAAAGCUUCGUCUAAUUUUUCGAGAUUCGCUAAUUCGCCACUGCUGAGUUGGACGUCGCCACUGCUGAGAGGGACGUCCGUGCACCGCAUAUCAAUGCUCACGGAAUCGUUGUUGGUGUUGUUGUUGAUGGUUGUUUGAUCAGUGGAAACUGCUCCGACGGCGCCGCCUCCUUCCUCCGUGGACGACAUUUUCAGGGUGAGCGGUUGGAAGUAAUAAACAAGGUGAUUUUGUAAACUGUUCUUGGCUGAGUGAGUGAUGUCGGAGAAAAGGUGGCAAAAUGGCUACGAUGAUGACAAAUAUUUUAUAGCUUACAUAAUAAACAAAUAUGGGAAAUACUUGAGGUGUAAUUUAAAUUUACCCCUUAGUGUUUAUAUUUUUACUAAUAUAAUUUUUAACUUUUAAUUUUUUAAUUAAAUUUAAUUUUCUUUUGAAAGAGUCAAUCUUAAAAAAGAAAAGUUAAAUUAAUGUUUUUUUAACAAAAAUAGUGACAAAUAUAAUAAUUGUCCUUAAGAAGCUAAGACCCUAUGAUUGGGACAUUUACAACACUUAAUAAAUUUCAUACACUUAAAAAUAGCUCCAUGCUUCUUUACAUAUAAUAAUUGCAUUUGUUAUUCUACCUAACUCUUGAAAAAUCUCAAAUUUGCAACCACAUAUUAUUCACAUGCCAACCAACCAAUUUAUUACCCACAUGCCAACCAUUUUUUUUAUUGAAGUUAUUGUACUUAUAACCUUUCACAUAUAACUAUGCUUCUUUAGAUAUGCUAAUUGCAUUUAUUGUUGUACCUCACUCGUGAAAAAUCUCAAACUUGCAACAAAAUAUUAUUCACAUGCCAACCAACCACUUUUUUUAUUGAAGUUAUUAUACUUAUAAGCUUUAUGCUUAUUGUAACACUCUAUGUUUGAUUCGAUCUACAGGACACUAUAGUUAUUGUCAGAGCAACUACAGUCAGAAUUACGAAAAGAUAAUUUGUAUUUAACAUCAAUCAUGAUGCAAUUACAGUAACACAUCAAUUAUGAGCUUUAAUCGAGCUUACGAAAGCUUUUUUGGCAGUUCGAGCAAGAAUUAGGACCAAACAGUAAAGAUUUGAAAAGUUUGGAGCGACUUCGUGACUUCAGCUUUUUCUCAUCGCAACAUGACCAUCUCAGUGUGUCACAUCAUAACGAAAAGCCUAUGCUCAUCACAACGAGACUCUCUGACUUGACAAUGUCACAAUGUCAAGAUUUGUAGUCGUGACGUGGACCCUAUAUUUGGCAAAAAUAUACAAUUUGGUACCUAAUUCAAUGCUCCAACUAAAAUCAUGCAAGAAAAAUACAUUACAUGCCAUUUCUAAAUAACUUAAAACUUACCUAAAACAUGCUAAGUAAGUUCAAACAUAUCAUUUCAAUUCCAUAGCAAUUCAUAUUACCAUUUCAUCAUUUAUAUUCAACUUUUCAAUAACUUACACUAAAUAUCAACAAGUUAUACAAACAUCUACCAUUACCUUUAUCAUGCCAUAAUGAAUCAUUCCAUUUCAAACAAUCAUCACAUUAGUUCUUUUAUUUUUCUUUUUUAGUCAACAUAUGAAAACCAACUUAGAUAGAUCACAUUCCAACUUUCCAAAUGCAUCAAAUAUUUCAUAUUCAUGUACUAACAAAGAUCAUGCCAAGAACCCACAUGCAAAGUCAUUAUAUACCACAUUUAACUCAACAAGACUUUUACACAACCAAAGAUUACUCCAAACGUUUAUAUGCAUGUCGCAAUCCUUGACUCAAAGAUAAUAAAAAAAACCGAAUUGACAAUAGAAUAGUGUAAGCUUCAAACGAUCCAACCGACAUGUUCCACAAUGUAACAACCUAAAAGGAAAAAGAAAACAAUGGGGUAAGCAUAUAAGAUGCUUAGUAACUCAUAUGUAAUCUAAACCUUACCUAGAUUAAUUGAACAUAAACAAUUACUCAAUAAGCUAUCAAAUUUAUUUUUCCAUGGCACUUAGAUAUCGUACAUGUAACAAUAUUUCAAGUCGAAAAUGUUAAAUACAAUGUUGAAUCAUUAUGUCUUCUUUUCGUAAGUUUCACUUAUAGAAAUACAAUAUAGGUUCAAGUACAAAUAUAUGUCUCGAUUAAUCUAGAAAGAACUAGACAAAAUCCACACAUGAUAAACGCAUAUAAUGAGUGUGAGACUCACACAUCACAAUUGAGAAUAAUAUUAUAGAACCAAAAUACUCAACAACCCAAAACCUUUGCGUUAACCAAGAAGCUAAGACCCUAUCAGAGGGAGAAUUUUAUAUCUACAACACUUAUUAAAUUUCAUUAGCUUAAUAAUAUAUAUUCAAAUAUUUAACAUUGUAACCAUGCUUCUUUUCAUAUAGUAAUUGCAUUUGUUAUUCUACCCAACUUAUGAAAAAUCUCAAAUAUAUAUUUUCAUUUUAUUACUUAAAUUAUUAUUACUUACUUUAAUAUUUAAAUUAUCAUUAUAUUACAUGAUUUGUUCCAAAUAUUUAACAUUGUAACGAUGCUUCUUUAAAUAUAGUAAUUGCAUUUGUUAUUCUACCUAACUCAUGAAAAAUCUCAAAUUUGCAACAUGUUAUUCACAUGCCAACCAACCAAUUUAUUAUUCACAUUCCAACUUUCUAAAUGCAUCAAAUAUUUCAUAUUCAUGUACUAACAAAGAUCAUGCCAAGAACCCACAUGCAGAGUCAUUAUAUACCACAUUUAACUCAACAAGACUUUUACACAACCAAAGAUUACUCCAAACGUUUAUAUGCAUGUCGCAAUCCUUGACUCAAAUGAUAAAAAAAACACCAAAUUGACAAUAAAAUAGUGUAAGCUUUGAACGAUCCAAUCGACAUGUUCCACAAUGUAACACCUAAAAGGAAAAAGAAAACAAUGGGGUAAGCAUAUAAGAUGCUUAGUAAACUCAUAUGUAAUCUAAAACUUACCUAGAUUAAUUGAACAUAAACAAUUACUCAAUAAGCUAUCAAAUUUAUUUUUCCAUGGCACGUAGAUAUCGUAUAUGUAACAACAUUUCAAGUCGAAAAUGUUAAAUACAAUGUUGAAUCAUUAUGUCUUCUUUUCUUAAGUUUCACUUAUAGAAAUACAAUAUAGGUUCAAGUACAAAUAUAUGUCUCGAUUAAUCUAGAAAGAACUAGACAAAAUUCACAUAUGAUAUAGGCAUAUAAUGAGUGUGAGACUCACACAUCACAAUUGAGAAUAAUGUUAUAGAAAACCUUUGCGUUAAGCAAGAAGCUAAGACCCUAUCGGAGGGAGAAUUUUAUAUCUACAACACUUCUUAAAUUUCAUUAGCUUAAUAAUAGCUAUUCAAAUAUUUAACAUUGUAACCAUGCUUCUUUUCAUAUAGUAAUUGCAUUUGUUAUUCUACCCAACUUAUGAAAAAUCUCAAAUUUGCAAUUUAUUAUUCACAUGCCAAACAACCAAUUUAUUAUUCCAACCAACCAAUUUAUUAUUCACGUGCCAACCAAUUUGUUUUAUCGAAGUUAUUAUACUUAUAAGCUUUCACAUAUAACCAUGCUUCUUUACAUAUAUUAAUUGCAUUUAUUGUUGUACCUCAUGAAAAUUUUCAAAUUUGCAACAACAUAUUAUUCGCAUGCCAACCAACCACUUUUUUUUAUUGAAGUUAUUAUACUUAUAAGCAUUCACAUUUAACCAUGCUUCUUGUAACACUUUUCAUUGGAUCCAAUCGUUGGGUCCGAUCUACAAGACGCUAUAGUCAUUGUCAAAGCAACUACAGUCGAAAUUACGAUAAGAUAAUUUUCAUUUAAACAUUAAGCAAGAUUCAACUACAGUAAUACAUUAAUUAUGAGUUUUAAUCGAGCUUACAAAAGCUUUUUUGGUAGUUCGAACAAGAAUUAGGACCAAACUAUAAAGAUUUGAAAAGUUUGGAGCGACGUCACAACUUCAGCUUUUCCUCAUCGCAACAUGACCAUCUCAGUAUGUCACAUCAUAUCGAAAAGCCUAUGCUCGUCGUGGCGAGACUCUUUGACUUGGCAAUGUCGCAAUGUCAAAAUUUGUAGCCGUUAUGUAAACCCUAUAUUUGACAAAAAUAUACAAUUUGGUACCUAAAUCAAAGCUCCAACUAAAAUCAUGCAAGAAAAAUACAUUACAUGCCAUUUCUAAAUGACUUAAAACUUACCUAAAACAUGCUAAGUAAGUUCAAACAUAUCAUUUCAAUUCCAUAGAAAUUCAUAAAACUUACCUAAAACAUGCUAAGUAAGUUCAAACAUAUCAUUUCAAUUCCAUAGCAAUUCAUAUUACCAUUUCAUCCAUUGUAUUCAACUUUUCAAUAACUUUAACUAAAUAUCAACAAGUUAUACAAACAUCUACCAUUACCUUUAUCAUGCCAUAAUGAAUCAUUUCAUUUCAAACAAUCAUCACAUUAGUUCUUUAAUUUUUCUUUUUUAGUCAACAUAUGCAAACCAACUUAAAUAGAUCACAUUCCAACUUUCCAAAUGCAUCAAAUAUUUCAUAUUCAUGUACUAACAAAGAUCAUGCCAAGAACCCACAUGCAAAGUCAUUAUAUACCAAAUUUAACUCAACAAGACUUUUACACAACCAAAGAUUACUCCAAAUGUUUAUAUGCAUGUCGCAAUCCUUGACUCAAAUGAUAAAAAAAAACUACCAAUUUGACGAUAAAAUAGUUUAAGCUUAAAACGAUCCAACUGACGUGUUUUUUUUUUUGCUCAAUCAAGAUAUUAUAGCUUUCAGCAUUUGUAGAAAUGCUAGCAUUCUACAAAUACAAGAUAACCCUUUCCCAAGAUCAGCAAACCGAGCACAAUCAAGUUGAGCCGACGUGUUCUGCAAGGUAACAACCUAAAAGAAAAAAAGAAACAACGGGAUACGCAUAUGAUAUGUUUAGUAAGCUCAUAUGGAAACUAAAACUUACCUAGAUCAAUUGAACAUAAAAAAUUACUCAAUAAGCUAUUGAAUUAAUUUUUCCUUGGCACUUAUAUACAUAUAGUACAUGUAACAACAUUUCUGUUAAAGAAAAGUAAUUUGACUUUUUUUCUGAAAAGUUAAUGGCUAAAUUUAGCUCAAAUAAAAAAGAAAAAACAAAAGCCAAUUUGGCAGAAAAUAUAAAUAUUGAGGAUAAAAUUUAUCAUUAUGUCUUUUUUUUUUAAGUAAUUAUUUGUGGUGGGCCAUCAUGUUUGACAAUGAUUUUUAAAUACUGUGUUAAUUGUAUAUAGCACAUCAUGUUUGACAAUAAUUUUUAAAGACUUUUAAACAUCGCGUUAAUUGUUUAUGGCCCAUUGCCCAUAUUGCUUUUAUUAAAUUUUGGGUAAACUUCAAGUUAAUCAUUUAAUUUUUAUAAAAUUUCACUUUGGUGAAAAAAAAAUUGUAUGGGAUGGGAGUCUCAGGAUAAAACAAAAAUUAGGAUAAAUGUAAUGCUGAAAUGAAUAUACUGGGAAUCUUUAAUGUUUAUGGCCAAACCCCACCUCUCCUAUCCUAUACUUCAUCUAUAAUAAUGGUUCUUGGCUUCUUCUAUUCUAUACCUCAAUUAUUUGGAUUAGAUUGAAAAACAAUUGACACUUGAUUUGAUUGUGAAAGAAGUUUUAGUUUAAUGAUAUGAUUGAGUUAAAAUUUAAAUUUAUAAUAUUUAACUUGAGUGUGAGUGAAUUUUUGACUUAAUUCAAAAUUUAAAAUAAUAAGUUCGAGUUUUAUUUAAUUAUGUGUGUAUAUCAUGUAUAAAUUUUAUUUAAAUUUAUUUUGAUUUAAUUCUCAUACUAUAUAUUCUUAAUUAAAUUCGGAAUAUAUUUUAAUUAUCAAUUUAAUUAUACAUUAUAACGAUGGAUUUGGAUAACAAAAUUCAGUUUACAAAAAGACAAAGUAAAGAACACUUACUUCGGUUGAUGUAUGGUAUAAUAAGUCUGCAAAGCACUAAGAGUAAGUGCAGCAAGGGCACCCAAAAAUGCCAAAAACGUCCAAGGCCUCCUAAAAUAAGUAUGAUAACCUUGAGCUGCAUGAUUAAUCCACAUAGUCUUACAAUGAUUAUGUAUUUUCUCUUUAACCCCACUGUAAAUCAUCUGACUAGGAACUAAAUCAGUGUUCAUCUUAUUGAAAAGUUUAGCCACCACUUCAUCACUCCCCAAUCUAUUGUAUAGUAUACCGGCGUCUCUUAGGUCUUUAACAUCUUCGGCUUCAUCGAUCAAUAAAUCAAGGAAACACAUAUAAGAAGUGACGGUGAAAUCGUUGUCGAAAUCCGGACACAUUUCGUAAGCUAUUAAGUUCAUGGUUGAAUCAUCAACGGUGAUUGGCGAUAACCGUAAUUUUCCAAAGAAGAUAUGGUUGAAACUGAUGUCGGUUAAACAACUUGUUUUGCUGCCUUUUAACAGUAUCCCGGCCUUUUUAAGCUCUUUUACGUUACCAAUGGUGUGUGAAUGGUGCCGUUUUGUUCUUGCUUCGUUGCUAGAUCCGUGUUCAGUGAUUGACCACAAACGGCACCACCACGGUUUUCCUUUUCCUACAAGGAGUCUUACUCGUAGUACAUUCAAUAAGUGAAUUCGCUCUCCUUGGUGCAGCUCCCACCACCAUUCACUACACCAAAAUCUGUGUUAGUCGGAAGCCAAGUUAUAAUUUAUCUUUUCAUUUUUUUCUUUUUGUUUGGAUUUGCAAUUGUUAAUUUUCAUGAAGCUAAAAUUAAUAUUUUCAAAAUAGAUAAUUCAACGAUUAAGUUAUUGAUUUAUAAAUUUCAAUUUAUUUGAUUUAAUUAAAUAAAUUAUUAAAAAUUUCGAUUCAAUAACACGGUUUAAAUAAAAAUUUUUACUCUAUUCAUAUAAAUUUUUAAAUCGGCCCGUCUAAUGACUUUCUCCUAAUUGAUGUCUCAAUUAAUUUUCAAUCCAAAUCGAUAUUAGCUAAAAUACAAUUUUUUAUUAUUGUAUUAAUGCAAAAAUCUUACCAUUUUUAAGAUAUUAAACUUUUCCAUUUUGGAAAGUUGGAUUUGAAAUCAUAAUUUUUCAUUUCUAAAUAAUGUACACUCAACAGGAUAAAUGCAAACCGACAGGCAGGGGUCGUUCCCAAGAAAUAAAAAUUUACACUUUAAUCCCUUUAAAAAUUAUUAAAUUAUAAUAAGUCAUCAAAUUAAAAAGAAAAAAAUUUAAGGAUCAGACUAUACUUGUUAAUCAGGUUAGUUAGAUAAAAAAUCGAGUAAAAUUAGAAUUAGACUAAUUGAAUCAAAGAAUCGAAUCACUUUUUUUAUAUUUUUAAUAAUUUCAAAAAAUUAUAUAAUUAAACUGAAUCAACUUAUAAUCCAGAAAAGAGAGUCUAAUAUUUUUAAUAAUUUCAAAGAUUCCAUCACCCAUCUAGUUAUAAAAACCUUUUAACAUUUAUAAACUCCACAAAAAUGAUUCUUUAAUUCCGUAAAUUGGCACAAGAUGCGCCCCAUGGAGGUCUAUCGAUUAGAUGGGGGACAUUUAGCCCACAAGAACUGGCCUGAUUCGGAGAGCUACUAAAGAAGCCUAUCAGAUUAAAGCCUGGUUGGCCCAAUGAUGAAGACAUGACAACUUAGGCAAUUUUGGUAACUAAUCUUAGAAGAUAGAAUAGAAUCAUAUCUUGUAAGAUUAGAUUAGAUUUGAUAUGGCAAAUCUUGUAAAUCCCUAAAAUCAAGGGAUAUAGUGAAUCUCAUCCGUCGAUGUACAUGUAUCUUGAUCGUCGGUUCUGGGGGAGCUCAACUAUAAAUAGAGAGCCUCCCCCUCACUUGUAAAUCAUCCAUUGUAGCUUGAAUUCUUAAGAGUAAUAGAAUUCUUGAGCAUUUACUCAAACACUUUGUGAGCUUUCUUUCUUUAGCUUUCUGUUGUUCUCUUGUGGCUUCUUUUGGCACAAUCGCUUCCGCUAUACAAAUUGGUGCCUUGGAGGAGUUCUAAAAGAAUCCUCUCUUUUGGGAGUUAAGGCUGACUUGGGCAAGUUUGGAUGAACGGAUCGCCUAAGGCCGUACGGAUUGCGAGACGAAAGGUCUAGCCCCGUGACAAGUGGUAUCCGAGCCAAGUUUUGAACCAAGUUAUAUUCGAGUGGUUCGAAGGCACUGUUGGGAUGUCGAAAGAAGUCGUCGGUCAGAGUGAACCAAUGGAGACCCGUGGGAGGGCUAGAAAAGCCAAUCACUCGAGGGAAAUGCUGACAGCUUUGGAGAACCGAGUGGUCAAUCUCGAGGAAUCCGUAGGAAAUGUGAAAGAGACGCUUGAAUUGGUCGAGGGACGCACAGAUGGGUUGGACUCAAUGGAGGAGCAACUCAGAGAUUUUGUGUUGGAUUCUCUUGGUGCAAAUAGGGAAAAGAUAACGGAAUUACUCGAGUCCACUGAGGUAAAGCUAGCAGAGAGGGAUGAAGCUCUCGAGGAUAUGGUGCUAGCCAUGCAAAAAGAAAUGGAGGAGCUUAAGGGGGAGCUCACGAUCUACAAAGCCGCUUUGAGUAAUGGGAUGUUGUCUUCAAGGCCGAAGCAACAAGCAAUGGAUGUGAAUCAAAAUUGGGAUGCUGAUGAUGAUCGUGGAAGGACACAGGAACGACAUCCUCGUGAUAAAUUUAAGGGUAGAUUGAAGUCUUCAAAUAGAGGUAAAACUUGUAACUUCUGCAAAAAGAAAAGACACGUUAAAUCUGAGUACUAUAAGCUACAUAACAAUAUCAAAAGGGGGGCUGUGAAUCAAAAUGGAAAACAACUAGAAAAUUUUGGUAAAGUUGAUGUUGUAGAAAACUACAACGAUGGUGAACUUCUAGUUGCUUCUGCCAACAAUUCUAAAGUUAGCGAGGAGUGGAUCCUUGAUUCGGGCUGCACCUUCCACAUAAGUCCCAAUUGGGAUUGGUUUACAACUUACAAAACAGUGUUUGAAGGUGUUGUUUUAAUGGGAAAUAAUACUUUAUGUUGAAUCAUAGGUGUUGGAAGAAUUAAAGUUAAGAUGUUUGAUGGAGUUGUCAGAACACUUAGUGACGUACGACAUGUUCCAAAAUUUAAGAGAAAUUUAAUUUCGUUGAGUACUCUUGACUCAAAAGGGUACAAAUAUACAGCUAGAAGUGGGGUUUUGAAGAUUUCCACAGGUUCCCUCGUUGUGAUGAAUGGGUAGAGAAAGACUACCAAGUUAUAUGUUUUGCAGGGUUUUACUGUUACUGGUGAUGCAACUGUCGCAUCCUCUUCUUUGUCAAAUGAUGAUAUUACUAAACUAUGGCAUAUGUACCUAGGGCAUAUGAGUAAGAAUGACAUGGUAGAAUUGAGCAAAAGAGGACUUCUUAAUGGGCAAGGAAUUUGCAAACUGAAAUUCUGUGAGCACUGCAUUUUUUGGAAGCAAAAGAGAGUUCGAUUCACUAGAGGAAUCCAUAACAUGAAAGGAAUGUUAGAGUAUAUUCAUUUUGAUUUUUGGGGGCCAUCUAGAGUGCAUUCGAGAGGUGGAGCUAAUUAUAUGCUAACUUUUAUUGAUGAUUUUUCCAGAAAAGUGUGGGUGUUCUACCUGAAGCAGAAAAGCGAUGUGUUUUUCACUUUUGAGUCUUGGAAAACUAUAAUUGAAAAACAGACGAGAAAACAAAUAAAAUACCUCCGCACAGAUAAUGGCUUAGAGUUCUAAUCUGAUGAGUUUAAUAAACUGUGUAAGUCAGAAGGGAUAGUGAGACACUUGACAGUUCGUCAUACUCCACAGUAAAAUGGUGUUGCAAAAUGAAUGAACAAAACUAUCAUGGAGAAGGUUCGAUAUAUGUUGUCAAAUGCCAACUUACCAAAGUCAUUUUGGGCCGAAGCAGCCUCUACUACAUGUUUUUUAAUCAACUGAUCUCCAUCUGUUGCCAUUAAGAAAAAGACUCCACAAUAGGUAUGGUUUGGUAUUCUUGCUAACUAUUCUGAUUUAAAGAUUUUUAGGUGUCCUGCAUAUGCUCAUGUUGAUAAUGGAAAAUUGGAAUCGAGAUUCAUUAAAUGUAUUUUUCUUGGUUAUAAAGCUGGUGUAAAAAGGUAUAAGUUAUGGUGUCCUGAAAAUAGAAAAGUUGUGAUUAGCAAAGAUGUUGUUUUUGAUGAAACUGCUAUGCUACCUAACUUAUCUCUUAAAGACUCUUCCAAUAAAAAAAAAUCAAAAGCAGGUGGAGCAUCAGAUUAAUCCAGAACCCACAACAGAGUCAACUCCUCAAGCCAGUACAAAAAUUCAAAAUAGAGUUGCUUCUUCACCAUAAUACUCAAUCGCCAAAAACAAAACUAGAAGAGAAAUUAAACCUUCAAAGAAGUAUGCCGAGGCUGAUUUAGUUGCUUAUGCUUUAAAUGUGGCUGAAGAUAUAGAUGCAAACUAAGAGCCAUCUAAUUAUUCUGAUGCUUAUGCUUUAAAUGUGACUGAAGAUAUAGAUGCUUUAAAUUUCGGGAGUGGACUUCACAGAUAUGUUUUCUCCAGUUGUGAAGUAUAGGUCUAUUCGAGCUUUUGUUGGUAUUGUGGCAAUGCAUGAUUUGGAGUUUUUACGUGUAAAAACUGCUAAUUUAUUUUCGUCCCCAAAACAUUUUUGGCUUAUACCUUGAAUGUGGAUCAAAAAAGAAAGUCUAGAGACUGAUAAGUGCUAAAAGUAACAUGUUUUAAUCUCAUUUUUAGUGUGUUUUUGGAUAAUUAUUCGAUUUAAAAUGGUGAAAUUUAUGCUCCUAAUCCUUUAAUUUAUGUUUCUAUACUUAGGAAAGGAUUUGGGAGCAAAAGGAACGAAAAUCGAAAAAUUGGAGCAAGUUUCAAGAGACAACUGGUUGGGCCAUUCUACAUGGCCAGGACACACGGCCGUGUGAGCUACACAGGCUUCCACACAGCCAAAUGCCAGACCAUGUGCAAAUCACAAAUCGCACUCCAAACCUACAGGAAAGCACAUUUUUUUAGGUAAGCAUAUUUUAUAGGUUUUUCAGGCAUUCUAAGACUUAUAUAUGAAAAAAAUAAGAAGAUGGGAGGGAACCGCCAUAGAAUAUUGAAGAAACAAAACUCAAAAAACACCAUUAAAGCUGACUCUGAAGCAGAUUUUCAUCAAGAUUGAAGAUCUCCUUUUGAUUUCUUUGAAGUUUAUUAUGAGUUCCUUUAUUUCUUGUGGUUAUCCUGUUUUUAGGAUGUUUUUAUUUGCUAUCAUGAACUAAUUUUCUAAAUACCUAUAGAGAUGAACCCUAGGAUGGAUUCUGUUAUUUGAUUUCUAUUUUUAUGCAAUAAAUACUUGAAUCUUGUUCUAAAUUUUGAGUGUUUAACUAUUGGUUUAAUAUUUCUAGGCUACUAGUCCAUGUUUGAUGUGCUUAAAUCAGAGGAUGGAUAGACCUAUUUAAGAGUAGAUCUAGCGUAAUUGAGUGAAGUUGCAUACAAUCUUAGAAAUAGGAUGGCAUAAAUAUACCAUAUUAGAGUCAAAUCUAAUAGGGGGAUCCAUAGAUCGAAUUAAUGUGAUAAUAGGAGUUUUAAUUAAAAAGAAAUUUCAAUUAAUCAGCCUAGAGUCAGUUGCUCUUAGUCUUGAAGAGAGAUAUUAUAAUAUUUAGGGAUUUCUAUGGAUCAAGCUACUAGUACUUUUACUAUGAAUCUCUUAGAAAAGAGUUGAAUUAAUAUUUUUUAACAAAAUAGUGACUGAAAUAUUAAAUUUUAAACAUGAUAACUCAUAUGACAAUCUACGUGUAUAUGUUUUCUUAUUUUAAAAUUAUUUGUUGACGUGGUAUAUAAGAAAAGUCAUGUUAUGUUAGCAUGAAAUGCACAUGGAUUGUCACACGAGUUGUAACACGAGCACUGUUAAAAAUUUAAUGUUUUAGUCAAUAUUUAUGUUAAAGAAAAGUAAGUUGACUAUUUUUUGAAAGGUUAAUGGCUAAAUUUAACUCAAAAUAAUAAUAAUAAAGAAUAGAGACUAAUUUCACAAAAAAUGUAAAUGUCAAAGGCUAAAUUUAAAAUUCUUAAAUGAUGACAUGACAUAAUCUCAAAGUGUCACGCUAUCACUCUUUGAUAGAAUUCAAGUUCAUGGACUAAAUCAAAAAAAAAUUGUUAAGUUCUGUUAUUAACCAUUUCUUUGUUCUUCAUUUUUUUCCUUUUGCUUUUUAGGUUCCAUAAUAAAAAAAUGGAUGGGAAAUUUCUAAAAUCAUUAGAAACAAGAAAAUAUGAUCUCAAAUCCAAUAAAUUACCCAAUCAAGUUACAGAGACUUAGGACCUGGCUAUGGGUGAAUUCAUCCCCUACAUUUUAGUAGGCACAGGUGGAUUUCAAGAACACAAAUAAUUAAAUUGGCUAAAUUUAUUCAUAUCCACCAAAUUAUUGGAAUUUUCAAAUAUAUUCAAAAAAUUAGAAGAGACAUUGGAUGAAACCACAAACAAAAUCAAAUUGAAAGAAAAGCAAAAUGACAUGGAAGGAGUAAAAGAAAAUAUGACUAAAUUGCCUGAAAAAUUAGCACGUAUGUUAAGCAACAUUAAUGAUAAAACACAUAGGAUACAACAACUACAUAUUUUUCACAUGCCAACCAACCAAUUUAUUUUUGUCCUUUUUGGUGUAAUUAAGGUAAAAUGAAUUUAAUUAUCUUUCAUAGAGUAAAUAAUCUUACCAACCAACCAACAACCAAUUUAUUAUUCACAUGCCAACCAACCUAUCUAUUUUUGUCCUUUUUGGUGUAAUUAAGGUAAAAUAAUCAGAUCCUAAGAGAUUGUUUGCAAGUCAAGUUAAACAAAAUAUAUCUUCUUUCUAGAAGAUUUAGUAUUUAUGAGUAUAAUAUAUUUAGCAUUUAUUAGCAUAAUAUAUUUGACUUUGAUUAGAAUUAGAUUUUUUUCAACCUAUAAAAGAUAUAAUCGAAACUCCUCUUGAAAUCAUUCGAAUUCGACAUAGUGAAUUUUCUUUUCCUCUGCCGGUGGUUUUUUACCCGAACGGGUUUCGACGUAAAAAUUUGUGUGCUUUUUAUUUUAUUUUUCUUUUCUUUGUGAUAUAUUAUCAUUGCUGACGUUCUAUUUUUUACAAAUUGGUAUCCGAGCUUCCAGGUUGUUCAUCUCAAUCAUGGUAAUGGCGUCUUUAAAGUUUGAAAUUUCACUGUUGGAUCGCAACACUAGAUUUGUGUUGUGGCAGAUAAAGAUGCAAGUAGUUCUUGCACAGAUGGACUUAGAGGAAGCCUUGCUGUGGUAGAUAAGAUGCCUUCAACAUUGACGGUGGAAGAGAAGAAGCGCAAGGAUCGAAAGGCGUUAACACAGUUACAUCUGCAUUUGUCUAACGAAAUUUUACAGGAUGUGAUAAAUGAGAAGACCGCCGCUGGAUUAUGGAAGAGGUUGGAACAAAUAUGUAUGUCGAAAACUCUAACUAGCAAGCUGCAUAUGGAGCAGCGUCUUUAUGCUCAUUGUUUGGAGGAAGGUGUAUCUGUGCAUGAACACUUAACAGUGUUUAAAGAAAUUCUCUCAAGCUUGGAGGCCAUGGAGAUUUAGUAUGAUAGGGAAGAUCUAAGGUUGAUUCUACUUUAUUCGUUGACCCCGUCUUAUUCAACCUUUAGAGAUAUGAUUUUAUAUAACCGCUAGUCUCUCACAGUUGAUAAGGUUUAUGAUUCUUUAACCUCGUAUCAUAAGAUUAAGUAUCUUGUUGUUAAAAUCAACUCUUAGGGAGAGGGUCUCAUGGUUCGUGAGAGACACAAUCGGGAUGUUGAUGAUGAUCGUGGAAGGACACAGGAAUGACAUCCUCGUGAUAAAUUUAAGGGUAGAUUGAAGUCUUCAAAUAGAUGUAAAACUUGUAACUUCUGCAAAAAGAAAAGACACGUUAAAUCUGAGUACUAUAAGUUACAUAACAAUAUCAAAAGGGGGGUUGUGAAUCAAAAUGGAAAACAACUAGAAAAUUUUGGUAAAGCUGAUGUUGUAGAAAACUACAACGAUGGUGAACUUCUAGUCGCUUCUGCCAACAAUUCUAAAGUUAGCGAGGAGUGGAUCCUUGAUUCGGGCUGCACCUUCCACAUAAGUCCCAAUUGGGAUUGGUUUACAACUUACGAAACAGUGUUUGAAGGUGUUGUUUUAAUGGGAAAUAAUACUUUAUGUUGAAUCAUAGGUAUUGGAAGAAUUAAAGUUAAGAUGUUUGAUGGAGUUGUCAGAACACUUAGUGACGUACGACAUGUUCCAAAAUUUAAGAGAAAUUUAAUUUCGUUGAGUACUCUUGACUCAAAAGGGUACAAAUACACAGCUAGAAGUGGGGUUUUGAAGAUUUCCACAGGUUCCCUCGUUGUGAUGAAUGGGUAGAGAAAGACUACCAAGUUAUAUGUUUUGCAGGGUUUUACUGUUACUGGUGAUGCAACUGUCGCAUCCUCUUCUUUGUCAAAUGAUGAUAUUACUAAACUAUGGCAUAUGUACCUAGGGCAUAUGAGUAAGAAUGACAUGGUAGAAUUGAGCAAAAGAGGACUUCUUGAUGGGCAAGGAAUUUGCAAACUGAAAUUCUGUGAGCACUGCAUUUUUUGGAAGCAAAAGAGAGUUCGAUUCACUAGAGGAAUCCAUAACAUGAAAAGAACGUUAGAGUAUAUUCAUUUUGAUUUGUGGGGGCCAUCUAGAGUGCCUUCGAGAGGUGGAGCUAAUUAUAUGCUAGUUUUUAUUAAUGAUUUUUCCAGAAAAGUGUGGGCGUUCUACCUGAAGCAGAAAAGCGAUGUAUUUUCGCUUUUGAGUCUUGGAAAACUAUGAUUAAAAAACAAAAGGAAAACAAAUAAAAUACCUCUGCUCAGAUAAUGGUUAGAGUUCUGCUCUGAUGAGUUUAAUAAACUGUGCAAGUCAGAAGGGAUAGUGAGACACUUGACAGUUCGUUAUACUCCACAGUAAAAUGCUGUUGCAGGAUGAAUGAACAAAACUAUCAUGGAGAAGGUUCGAUAUAUGUCGUCAAAUGCCAACUUACCAAAGUCAUUUUGGGCUGAAGCAGCCUCUACUACAUGUUUUUUAAUCAACCGAUCUCCAUCCGUUGCCAUUAAGAAAAAGACUCCACAAUAGGUAUGGUCUGGUAAUCUUGCUAACUAUUCUUAUUUAAAUAUUUUUGGGUGUCCUGUAUAUGCUCAUGUUGAUAAUGAAAAAUUGGAAUCGAGAUUCAUUAAAUUUAUUUUUCUUGGUUAUAAAGCUGGUGUAAAAAGGUAUAAGUUAUGGUGUCCUGAAAAUAGAACAGUUGUGAUUAGCAAAGAUGUUGUUUUUUUAUGAAACUGCUAUGCUACCUAACUUAUCUCUUAAAGACUCUUCCAAUAAAAAAAAUCAAAAACAGGUGGAGCAUCAGAUUAAUUUAGAAUCCACAACAAAGUCGACUCCUCAAGCCAGUACAAAAAUUCAAAAUAGAGUUGCUUCUUCACCAUAAUACUCUAUCGCCAAAAACAAAACUAGAAAAGAAAUUAAACCUCUAAAGAAGUAUGUCGAAGGCUGAUCUAGUUACUUAUUCUUUAAAUGUGACUGAAGAUAUAGAUGCAAACCAAGAGCCAUCUAAUUAUUCUGAUACGAUUAGCUUGAAGACUCAGAAAAGUGGAUGUUUGUUAUGUAAGAGGAGAUGAAAUCACUCCACAAAAAUCAAACAUUGGAUCUUAUGAAACUUUCUAAAAAUAAAAAGGUUGUUCGUUGUAAAUGGGUGUUUAAAAAGAAAGAGGGGACUCUAGGAGUUGAAGAACCCAGAUAUAAAGCAAGGCUUGUUGCAAAGGGUUAUAGUCAAAUUUCGGGAGUGGACUUCACAGAUAUGUUCUCUCCAGUUGUGAAGCAUAGGUCUAUUCGAGCUUUGCUUGGUAUUGUGGCAUUGCAUGAUUUCUUAAGCAGUUAGAUGUAAAAACUGCAUUUUUACAUGGAGAAUUUGAGGAGGAUAUUUACAUGCAACAACCAGAGGGUUUUACAAUCUCAGAAAAAGAGGACUAUGUUUGCUUGCUGAAACAGUCCAUUUACGAUUUGAAACAGUCAUCAAGACAGUGGUAAAAGAGGUUUGAUUCCUUUAUGACUUCUUAUGAUUUUAAAAGAAGUAGCUUUGAUAGUUGUGUUUACUUUAAGAAAAACAGUGAUGGUUCUUUUGUUUAUCUACUCCUUUAUGUUGAUGACAUGUUGAUAGUAGCGAAAGAUAAAUGAGAGAUAAGAAAUGUCAAAUUCUAAUUAAGUGAAGAAUUUGAGAUGAAAUAUUUGGGACUAGCAAAGAAGAUAUUUGGCAUGGAGAUUCUUAGAGAUAGAAAAGCAAGUAAAUUGUACCUAAGUCAGAAGGGGUAUAUUGAGAAAGUUCUUUGCAGAUUCAAUAUGCAGAAUACUAAGCCUGUUAGUACUCUUUUAGCAGCCCAUUUUAGAGUUUUAUCGACUUUGUCUCCACAAUCAGAUGAUGAGAUUGAGUACAUGUCACAUGUUCCAUACUCUAGUGUAAUGGGAUCUCUCAAGUAUGCUAUAGUUUGUCCACGUGUAGAUUUAUCAUAUGCAGUCAGUGCAGUUAGUAGAUACAUGGCGAAUCCCGAUAAAGAACAUUAGAAAGCAGUUCAGUGGAUUUUAAGAUACUUACGAGGUACUACUGAUAUUUGCUUAUAGUUUGGAAGAACUAGAGAUGGAGACAUUGGGUAUGUUGAUACUGAUUUUGCUGGAGACCUUGAUAGAAGAAGAUCUCUCACAGGUUAUGUAUUUACAAUCGAAGGUUGUGCAAUCAGUUGGAAAGCCACUUUGCAACCCACAGUUGCUUUGUCUACCAUUGAAGCUGAGUACAUGACGAUUACUGAUACUUGUAAAGAAGCUAUUUGGUUGAAGGGACUUUUUAGUGAACUCAAUGAAAACCUUCAAAUCAGUACAGUAUUUUGUGACAGUUAAAGUGCCAUCUUCCUUACAAAAGAUCAAAUGUUUCGUGAGAAAACAAAACACAUCGAUGUUCGGUAUUAUUUUGUUCGUGUUAUUAUUGCUCGUGUUGAAAUUGUUGUGACCACAAUUAGUACUCAUGAAAAUCCUACAGAGAUGAUGACUAAGUCAUUUCUUAUAACCAAUUUUGAGCAUUGCUUAGACUUGAUUGGUGUUCAUUGUUGAAAUUAAACCCUUAAGGGGUUUUAUGGAAGAGGUGGAGAACUUGUUCGUUGAGAGUUCGCGAUAAAGAACUUGUUCAUUGAGAAUUCGUGUCAAGGUGGAGAUUGUUAGAGUUUUGUGACCCAAAUUCUAAAAGAUUGCUUGCAAGUCAAGUUAAACAAAAUAUAUCUUCUUUCUAGAAAUUUUAGUAUUUAUGAGUAUAAUAUAUUUAGCAUUUAUUAGCAUAAUAUAUUCGACUUUGAUUAGAAUUAAGUUUUUUUCAACCUAUAAAUAGAUGUAGUUGAAACUCCUCUUGAAAUCAUUCGAAUUCGACAUAAUGAAUUUUCUUCUCCUCUGCCCAUGGUUUUUUUCCCGCAAGGGUUUCCACGUAAAAAUCUGUGUUCUUUAUUUUAUUUCUCUUUUCUUUGUGAUAUAUUGUCAUUGCCAAUGUUUUAUUUUUAACACAUAGAUUAAAUAAUCUUACCAACCAACCAAUUUAUUUUUGUCCUUUUUGGUGGGCUUUCGAGUCUACAAGACAGGUAGCAAUAGUUAUUGAGGAGCUAGUCACGUUUUAAAUAUUUUCUUCUAAGUAAGCACAACAACAUUAAGAAAUUUAUUUUUUAGAGUCUAUAUAAGGAAAAGGGCCUUAGGAUUUUCUAGUGCCACACUCACUUCAACAACAGACACUUCAAAUUUUCAAGCAUACAACAGCAGCAGCAGCCAGCGAACUAAUCAAUUGUUUUUAAGUACUAAUAUUUAGGGAUAAAGUAAUAGUUAAUUAUCUGAAUAUUUUAUAAUAGGGACGAAGUUAUAAAAGAAGUUGAAUUAGAUAUCUUUAUACAAGUUAAAAUACAAUUUAAUCAUAUUGGUUUGUAAUUUUACAUAUUUUAAAGGGAUUAGAUCAAAAUUUUAUCAUUUUGGAGGUUGAGAUGAAAUUUUACCGUGUAUUAACAUGUAAAAUUAUAACUUUUAAAGGCACCCAAAACAUAAAUUUCCAUUUUAGGUGGCCGAAGCCUUGGUUAUUUAUCUACUUUGAUCUUUGAACUUCUUUUUGUCUAAAUUAAUUCGAAAAUUUGAUAGUUUUUCCUAGUUUAGUCCUUGAACCUUGGGUUAUGCUACAUCAUCACUUGUAUUUUUUAUUAAAAAUAAUAAUAAUUUCUUUUUCAUUCUUUUUAGAUUUUAUUUAAGUUUUUUAAAAUUUUCAAAUGAUGACGUGACAAAAUCUUAAAGUGGCAUGCUAUCGCUCUUUAACGGAAUCCAAGUCCAUGGACUAAAUAAAAAAAUUGUUAAGUUCAAAGACUAAAUAUUAUUUUAUCCCUAAUAUUAGUUACCCUGUUUUAGAAGUUGAUUGAAUUUCUUGCUUGCUUACUUUUGUUAUUAACCGUUGCUUUGUUCUUCUUCUUCUUCUUCUUUUUAAUUUUAGGUCCCGUAAUUGAAAAAAGAUGCAUGAGAAAUUUCUAAAAUCAUUAGAAACAAGAAAAUAUGAUCUCAAAUCCAGUGAUUUACCCAUAUCAAGUUACAGAGACUUGGGCCCCGGCUAUGGUGAAUUCAUCCCCUACAUUUUAGCAGGCCAAGGUGGACUUCAAGAACACAAACAAUUAAAUUGGCUAAAUUUAUUCGUAUCCGCCAACUUAUUAGAAUUUUCAAAUAUAUUCAAAAAAUUAGGAGAAACAUUGGAUGAAACCACGACGGAAAUCACAAACAGGAUCAAAUUGAAAGAGAAGGAAAAUGACAUGGAAGGGAUAAAUGAAGAGAUGGCUAAAUUGCCUAAAAAUUUAGCACGUGUGUUAAGCAACAUUGAUGAUAAACCAUAUAGGAUACAACAUAUGGAGUGUAGCUUGGAAAAGAACAUGUAUAAGAUCAAUAAGGAUCAAAUUAAAAUUAUGAAAGAAUUGAGGGACUUGAAAAGGGAAAUAAAAGAGUUAAAGGAGGAUGUGAAAGAAGUUAAAAUAAAAAUUGAAAUUUUUAAAAAUUUCAAAAGUUUUCUUUGAUUUCUUAAAAUUUUUUAUUAAAUCUCUUAAAUUUUAUUUUCAAAAAAAAGAAUUUCAUUAAACACCAAAAAUGAAAUAGAUUGAAUCCAACAUCCAUGAGUUACAAAAUUAUCAUAUAUAACAAGAGCUUACAAAAAGACUAGUGUUACGGAAAAUGGCUUACGGAAAAUGACUUACUUUUCUGAAAAAGCUAAUAUUUUCUAGUGUUUGGAUAAAUCUGUGUAAAAUAUUUUCUUUUGUUUGGAGGUUCUUUAAAAAUAUUUUAUAAAAGUCAUUUUCAAUUAAACAAACAUACAUUUGAGAUUUUUUUUAUUUUUUUAUUUUUUCAUUGUUUAAUUGAGUUUAUUUUAUACCUAUAAUUUUAUAUUGUACAUUGUUUUUACAUAUAUUAAAAAUAUUUUGUUAAAUUUAGGUUCAUUGCAACAAUCAUUUUUUAGUUACAUGACUACCAAUUGAGUUUUUUUGUUUAAAAAUGUUACAUUAACAAAAUUGAUAAAAAAAUUAACAAUGUCAGCAGUUGGACUUGAUUUUCAAAUCUAGAAAGGAGAGGGACUAAAUUCUUGAAAAUAAAAGUACAGAAACUAAAUUGCAAAUUUGUGAAGAGUAUAUAAACUUAUGAUAUAUCUUAACAUUUAUACUACAAAACAAUUAUUAUUAAUAUAUUUAUAAUUGUAAUAAAUAUUUAGUAUUAAAGUAUUAAUAUUGAUAUUUUCAAUAAUAUGUGAAUAAUAUUAUUUAAAAUUACUAUUAAAAUAAAAUUUAAAUAUUAAAUAAUUUAUUAAAAAUAAUAAAUUAUAUUAAUAAUUUAUUAUAUGACUAAAUAUAAAUAAUUAAAUACGUAUUUUAAUAAUAUUAAAAAAUAUAAUAUUUUAUAUUAAUAUUUUAAAUAUUUUAAAAAUAAAAAUAAAAUUUAUUAUCAAUAUAAUAAUAUUAAACUUGAUUUAAGUUAAUUUUUAUAUAAAAGUAAAAUUAUCUAUUGAGGAGCUCUUUUCCGGAAAAUGACUUACGCUUUUCAAGAGGAUAAGUAAUUUUACAAGGAAAAAGGCUUAUUUCCAUUGACCUGUAAGUUAUUUUCCGUUGACCAAGCUGUUUUCUGUGAAACAAACACAGGAAAAUGCAGAAAAUAUUUUCCGUAAAACCUUUUACAUGUAAACAAAUGGACCCUUACUUUGGUUGAUGUAUGGUAUAAUAAGUCUGCAAAGCACCAAGCAAAAGUGCAGUAAUGGCACCCACAAAUGCCAAAAACGUCCGAGGACUCCUAAAUUAAGUAUGAUAACCUUGAGCUGCAUGAUUAAUCCACGUAGUCUUACAAUGAUUAUGUAUUUGCCCUUUAACCCUACUGUAAAUCAUCGGACCAGGAACCAAAUCAGUGUUCAUCAUGUAAAUGAUAUAAUGUCCAAAUUGUCUAGUGUUACUUCACAUGGUUGAUUUCAUUUGUGAAUUAAUGAUUGUGGAUUGACAACAUUGACUAUUCUAUGCACGGGGAGUGUAACACCUCAAACCCGGCCUAGACGUUAUGGUCGAAUCCUGGAGUGUUACAAAGAAGGGUUUUGAAAUCAGUGUUACUUCGAUAAAACUUUGUAUAGUCGUUCGAUAAAUCAUCCAAGUUUUAUAAUCCAUAUUCGUUUAUAUAACUAUUACUGAAAGCGUUAUACAAUUAAUUCAUUUGCCAAAACAUAAUUUACAGCGGAAGUCAUUUUCAUAAAUCGUUUUGACAAACCAAACAGGAUAGAAAACAAUCGAAACCAAAACCAACAGUUAAAAUCAUACAGUCCAGAGAGUCCCAAAAAUGACAAACUCUCAAAUAAAUUCAUAAUUUUAAUUAAAACCGUUAGUUAUUAAGUAAAAAUAGUUCUCAAUCGAGUGGUCAUCGCUGAGCCUCUGUCGUACUGACCUGCCGAAGUUUGUGGAUUACCUGAACAGAAUAGACAAAAAGAUGUGAGUUUUCAUAAACUUGGUGUGUAACCCAACAAAAAUAGUCAUGCAGCAUACACAGAAUCUCAUAUACAGUCAGAUACAGAUUCGGACCUAUGUCCAUGACAGAUACAGAUAGCAGAAUCAGAUAAGAAGAAUCAUACCCCCAUCCUCUACACACCAUCUCCGACUAUCCCAUCACACCAUGUGGGGUUAAAAACACCCACCCAACCCUACACACCAUAUAGAGUCAAUGCGACGCAUAACAGAUAAUAUGCAAUCAAUCUGCUAGAAUAAAGGCAAAGAAUCGCCAUACAAAUCACUUCCUCCACAUAUACAAUUCCCACCCCAAACACAGAUACAGAAUACAGAUGCAAAAAUAUCAGAGUAAACAUGCUUAACAUGCUCGUAUACAAAUGGAUACAUACUUAAACAGUACAGUCCGACAUACAUAUAGUAUCCUAAUCAAAUUAGUCUAUCAGAAUAUCAUAGCACAUAAAUUAGGGUUUUGGUUAGCCCUUACUGACCCUACGGCAGGUCCACAGUCGAUCGGAAUGACACCUGUGACCCUAGGGAAUAUUUCAGAAUUAUGGGCCCACAUGCCUAUAUGGGCCCACACGUCCAGAUUGGCCUUACCUGCAUGGGAACAUUAGAAGGUUCAAAAUACAAUUUUAUUAUUAUAUUAAUUUAUAAUUUCAUAAAUUUUAAAAGGAUUAAAUGAUAAAUUUACUAAUUUAAAAAGACAAUAGGGAUGGUAAAAUCUAAUUGAACCUAUCUGCGUUCGGAUCGGGAUGGAUUUUUUUUAAUUUAAAAAAUUAAAUAGAUUGAAUCGAAAAUCUAGGAGUUACAAAAUUCUCAUAAAUAACAAGAGUUUACAAAAAGAACACUUACUUGGUUGAUGUAUGGUAUAAUAAGCUUGCAAUCCACAUAUACAAUUCCCACCCCAAACAUGAAUAUAGAAUACAGAUGCGGGAAUAUCAGAGUAAACAUGCUUAAAAUGCUCGUAUACAGAUGGAUACAUACUUAAAUAGUGCAAUCAAACAUACAUAGGUCCACAAUCUAUUAGAAUAUCAUAGCACAUGGGUCCACAUGCCCGUGUGGGCCCACACGCCCAGAUUGGCGUUGCCCAUGUGGCCCACAUGGCCUGGCCCAAAACCCACACGGCCGUGUGGGCCUACAUGCCCAACUUGGCCUAGCCCGUGCGACCCACAAGGUCACACUCACACAAUCACACGACCAUGUCUUGUGCGCGGCCAUACCUUCGUCAGUCACAUGGCCGUGUCUCGCACAUGGCCAACCACAUGGCUUGGCUCACGCCCUUGUGGCAUUGACAGUGCCCUUUUUUAGCUUUUGUCGAACCUCAAUUUUUCAUGUUUAAGGUACACACAUGGUUCAUUUUAGAUGCCUAGCAAUCCUGAGCCCUCUGAAACCUAAGAAAUAGCAUCCCAUUGACCAAUUAGCAAUCAAUUUACGAAUCGACACUUAACCCGAAAUAACGCACAUAACUUACCGAAGACACGAAUUGGCACGAGCGCGAUCUAGGCUGUCGAAGUAAAAAUUCAUUGCUCACAACCUUCUCCUACACCACAAAUUUGCAGAAAUCAAACCCCCUAUCUAUGCUACUACGCUACCACGAAAAGAAAAUAAACUGAUAGCUUACCCAAAUCACAUAAAAAUGUCAAGUCCAGAGUGCAACGUGAAGAACAAAAGAUGAAAAAACAAGUUUGAAGGAAAAGAAAACGAACGAAAAAAUCAGAGAUUGAAGAGGAGAAAAAGGAAGAAAUGUAAAAGAAUAAAUAAAUAAAUAAAAAGAGUAGAAACUGACGUCAGAAUUUUUAGAGAGAGAGAACCUAAAUUUUGAAAAAUAAAAAUAAAAUAAGAUAAAAACAAUAUCACAACUCCCCCCACUCAAACCAGCAAAUUCAUUCUGAUAUAAUUAAAUUUACAAACAAUAUUCCAUAAACUUGCCUAAUAGGGAUAAGGCUAAGACCAAAAAAAUAACAGAAUUUUCAAAUGUGAGACUUGAAUACUAGACCUCAAACACAUACCGAAAACACUUAGCCACUAAAGUAAAAACAUAUUUAUAUUAGGAUUUACAGAAACAUAUUUAUAUCAAGAUUUACAGAAAUAGAAAUAAAUUAUUCAUGGCGUUACAGAUGGGUAGUACUCCUUUUUCUACCAUUUCACUACCCAUUGCAUUCAAUUUCUCUGCCCUACUACUCCUCUGCACUGCACUGUCCAAUUGCAUUUAAAGAUAAUGUAUACAUAUAGAUUGUAAAUUUUCUUGGCUGGAAGCUCACUGGAAGCCAAAAUCAAAACAAACUUUUGAUGGUUUAAUUGUUUUUUAGCCCUUGAAUUUCAGGUGCUAUGAGAAAUGAAUUACAACCUCAUCUUGUCAUUAUCCCAAAAUCAAAACAAGCAACUCUUGGUUGAAAGUUGAAACCAAGGGCCAAGUCAAAAUUGUUUUAGGACGAGUCCAAAAUGAACAAUGAUUUUGAAGGUUCAAAAUACAAUUUUAUUAUUAUAUUAAUUUAUAAUUUCAUAAAUUUUAAAAGAUUAAAUGAUAAAUUUACUAAUUUAAGAAGACAAUAGGGAUGGUAAAAUCUAAUUGAACCUAUCUGCGUUCGGAUCGGCAUGGAUUUUUUUAAUUUAAAAAAUUAAAUAGAUUGAAUCGAAAAUCUAGGAGUUACCAAAUUCUCAUAAAUAACAAGAGUUUACAAAAAGAACACUUACUUGGUUGAUGUAUGGUAUAAUAAGCCUGCAAAGCACCGAUAGAAAGUGCAGCAAUGGCACCCACAAAUGCGAAAAACGUCCAACGAGUCCUAAAACAAGUAUGAUAAACUUUAGCUGGAUAUUUACUCCACAUAUUCUCACGAUGAUUAUGUAUUUGCAGUUUAACAUGUCAUGUAAAUCAUCGGACUAGGAACCAAAUCAAUGUUCAUCUUCUUGAUAAGCUUAGCCACUUCUUUAUCACUCCCAAAUCUAUGGUAUAGUAUGCCGGCGCCUCUCAGUUCCUUAACAUCUUCGGCUUCAUCGAUCAAUGAAUCAAGGAAACCCAUAUAUGAAGUGACGGUGAAACUGUUGAAGAAAUCCGGACACAUUUCGUAAGCUAUUAAGUUCACUGUUAAAUCAUCGACGGUGAUCGGCGGUAACCAUAAAUUUCCGAGGAAGAAGAAAGGGCUGAAACUGAUGUCUGUUAAACAACUUGUUUCGCUUGCUUUUAACCUUAUCCCGGCUUUUUUAAGCUCUUUUACGUUCCUUAAGGUGUGUGAAUGGUGCCCUUCUAUUCUUGUUUGGUUGCUGCGAUUUUUCAAGUUCAUGAAAAAUCGAGUGCAAAACCUACAAUGCCGCCUUGGUUUUUCUUUUUCUUUUUUCUUUAUUGAAAGGAGUCUUACUCGUAGUAGAUGCAAUAAGUGAAUUCGCUCUCCUUGCUGCGGCCACCAUUCACUACAGCAAAAUCUGUGUUAGUCGGAAGCCAGCUAAAAUUAAGGUUUUCAACAGUUGAAUCUAUAAGAUCAUUGAUUUAUAAGUUCAAUUUAUCCGAUUUGAAUAAAAAAUUUAAUCCUUUUAAAAAUUAUUAAAUUAUAAUUUUUUAUAUAUAAUAAAAUUAUACUUUGACUCCUUAAAAAAUGAAGAAAAAAAUUGUUUAACUCUUUCGGAAAAUGAUAAAAUCAUAAAUUAAUGUAUAAAGAAAAUUUAAGAAUCAAACUAAAUUUAUCGGUGGGCCUGGUUAAACAGAGAAUCGUGCAAGGUAUUAAUCUAGAAUAAUGAGUUAGACUCAUUGAAUCGAGUGGUCGAAUAGAUUUUUUUAUAUUUUUAAUAUAUCUUUAAUAUUUUUAAAAUUUUAUAUAAUUGAAUCCAAUUAACUAAUCAACCAAAAAUAGACUCUAAUCGAUUCUAUCACCUAUUUUACAUUUAUACACUCCACAAAAUGAUUCUUUUGUACAUUCCUUAAAUUACCUGUCCUGCUGAUGUGAUUGUGGCCCUUUAACAGUGACGUCGAUGAACCUUAUGAUUGCCUUCAUGAACUUUUUGCCAUUAUUGCUCAAGCUUGUAAGCAAUUCAAGAACACGAAAAGGUAUUUGGUUCUCCAACAAUAACAGAUCCGAGUACACCAAUGUCAGCAAAUCGUUUUUAAUAACCAAUUGGCCAUAAACAGCAUAAAAAUCAUCAUUAGUACCGUAAUGCAUAUAAAUUAAUUGUAAAAUUGCGCAGCCGUCAACGAAGAACAUCCAAGCCAGUUUCUCGUUAUCGUUGCCAUACUCCUCUAAUUCCGUUGGAUCAUAGCAUUUCCUCAAGCCAUCGAUCUCUUUCUUCAUGUUUCUGUACAAGGAAUCCUUAUCGACGCCAAUGUUUUUGACGAAAUGUGCUGCUAAUUUGAGCUUGAGCUCCUUGGAUUCAUGGAGGGUGGGAUCAUCGUGGUGGAGUGGGCCGAUUGAGAUCACUUUCGGCUUGAAAUACUUCAUGAAAUCUUCGGUACGGCAAAGGGUUGAUGGUACUUUUCGUAUCAAUGGAUUGGCUGUGAAGUUGGGUUGGCCGCCGUCCAAAGCUUUGUCUAAUGACUGGAGAUUCGCUAAUUCGUCAUUGCUGAGAGGGACGUCCGUGCACCGCAUAUCAAUGCUCACGGAAUCGUUGUUGGUGUUGUUGUUGAUGGUUGUUUGAUCAGUGGAAACUGCUCCGACGGCGCCGCCUCCUUCCUCCGUGGACGACAUUUUCAGGGUGAGCGGUUGGAAGUAAUAAACAAGGUGAUUUUGUAAACUGUGCUUGGCUGAGUGAGUGAUGUUGGAGAAAAGGUGGCAAAAUGGCUACGAUGAUGGCAAAUAUUUUAUAGCUUACAUAAUAAACAUAUAUGGGAAAUACUUGAGGUGUAAUUUAAAUUUACCCCUUAGUGUUUAUAUUUUUACUAAUAUAAUUUUUAACUUUUAAUUUUUUAAUUAAAUUUAAUUUUCUUUUGAAAGAGUCAAUCUUAAAAAAGAAAAGUUAAAUUAAUGUUUUUUUAACAAAAAUAGUGACAAAUAUAAUAAUUGUCCUUAAGAAGUAAGACCCUAUGAUUGGGAGAAUUUUACAUUUUCAACACUUCUUAAAUUUCAUACACUUAAAAAUACCUCCAUGCUUCUUUACGUAUAAUAAUUGCAUUUGUUAUUCUACCUAACUCAUGAAAAAUCUCAAAUUUGCAACAAAAUAUUAUUCACAUGCCAACCAACCACUUUUUUUUUAUUGAAGUUAUUAUACUUAUAAGCUUUAUGCUUCUUGUAACAGAUUCGAUCUACAGGGCACUAUAGUUAUUGUCGGAGCAACUACAGUCAGAAUUACAAUAAGAUAAUUUUUAUUUAAACAUCAAUCAUGAUGCAAUUAAAGUAAUACAUCAAUUAUGAGCUUUAAUCGAGCUUACGAAAACUUUUUUGGCUGUCCGAGCAAGAAUUAGGACCAAACUGCAAAGUAAUUGCAUUUGUUAUUCUACCUAACUCAUGAAAUAUCUCAAAUUUGCCAACCAACCAAUAUAUCAUUCCAACCAACCAAUUUAUUAUUCACAUUCCAACUUUCUAAAUGCAUCAAAUAUUUCAUAUUCAUGUACUAACAAAGAUCAUGCCAAGAACCCACAUGCAGAGUCAUUAUAUACCACAUUUAACUCAACAAGACUUUUACACAACCAAAGAUUACUCCAAACGUUUAUAUGCAUGUCGCAAUCCUUGACUCAAAUGAUAAAAAAAAACACCAAAUUGACAAUAAAAUAGUGUAAGCUUCGAACGAUCCAAUCGACAUGUUCCACAAUGUAACACCUAAAAGGAAAAAGAAAACAAUGGGGUAAGCAUAUAAGAUGCUUAGGAAACUCAUAUGUAAUCUAAAACUUACCUAGAUUAAUUGAACAUAAACAAUUACUCAAUAAGCUAUCAAAUUUAUUUUUCCAUGGCACGUAGAUAUCGUAUAUGUAACAACAUUUCAAGUCAAAAAUGUUAAAUACAAUGUUGAAUCAUUAUGUCUUCUUUUCUUAAGUUUCACUUAUAGAAAUACAAUAUAGGUUCAAGUACAAAUAUAUGUCUCGAUUAAUCUAGAAAGAACUAGACAAAAUUCACAUAUGAUAUAGGCAUAUAAUGAGUGUGAGACUCACACAUCACAAUUGAGAAUAAUGUUAUAGAAAACCUUUGCGUUAAGCAAGAAGCUAAGACCCUAUCGGAGGGAGAAUUUUAUAUCUACAACACUUAUUAAAUUUCAUUAGCUUAAUAAUAGCUAUUCAAAUAUUUAACAUUGUAACCAUGCUUGUUUACAUAUCGUAAGCGCAUUUGUUAUUCUACCCAACUUAUGAAAAAUCUCAAAUUUGCAAUUUAUUAUUCACAUGCCAAACAACCAAUUUAUUAUUCACGUGCCAACCAAUUUGUUUUAUCGAAGUUAUUAUACUUAUAAGCUUUCACAUAUAACCAUGCUUCUUUACAUAUAUUAAUUGCAUUUAUUGUUGUACCUCAUGAAAAUUUUCAAAUUUGCAACAACAUAUUAUUCGCAUGCCAACCAACCACUUUUUUUUUAUUGAAGUUAUUAUACUUAUAAGCAUUCACAUUUAACCAUGCUUCUUGUAACACUUUUCAUUGGAUCCAAUCGUUGGGUCCGAUCUACAAGACGCUAUAGUCAUUGUCAAAGCAACUACAGUCGAAAUUACGAUAAGAUAAUUUUCAUUUAAACAUUAAGCAAGAUUCAACUACAGUAAUACAUUAAUUAUGAGUUUUAAUCGAGCUUACAAAAGCUUUUUUGGUAGUUCGAACAAGAAUUAGGACCAAACUAUAAAGAUUUGAAAAGUUUGGAGCGACGUCACAACUUCAGCUUUUCCUCAUCGCAACAUGACCAUCUCAGUAUGUCACAUCAUAUCGAAAAGCCUAUGCUCGUCGCGGCGAGACUCUUUGACUUGGCAAUGUCGCAAUGUCAAAAUUUGUAGCCGUUAUGUAAACCCUAUAUUUGACAAAAAUAUACAAUUUGGUACCUAAAUCAAAGCUCCAACUAAAAUCAUGCAAGAAAAAUACAUUACAUGCCAUUUCUAAAUGACUUAAAACUUACCUAAAACAUGCUAAGUAAGUUCAAACGUAUCAUUUCAAUUCCAUAGAAAUUCAUAAAACUUACCUAAAACAUGCUAAGUAAGUUCAAACAUAUCAUUUCAAUUCCAUAGCAAUUCAUAUUACCAUUUCAUCCAUUGUAUUCAACUUUUCAAUAACUUUAACUAAAUAUCAACAAGUUAUACAAACAUCUACCAUUACCUUUAUCAUGCCAUAAUGAAUCAUUUCAUUUCAAACAAUCAUCACAUUAGUUCUUUAAUUUUUCUUUUUUAGUCAACAUAUGCAAACCAACUUAAAUAGAUCACAUUCCAGCAUAGUCAACAAGACUUUUACACAACCAAAGAUUACUCCAAAAAUGUUUAUAUGCAUGUCACAAUCCUUCACUGAAAAUGAUAAAAAAAUCUACUAAAUUGACAAUAAAAUAGUUUAAGCUUUGAACGAUCCAACCGACGUGUUCUACAAGGUAACAACCUAAAAGAAACAAAAGAAACAACAGGAUAUACAUAUAAUAUGUUUAGUAAACUCAUAUGGAAACUAAAACUUACCUAGAUCAAUUGAACAUAAAAAAAUUACUCAAUAAGCUAUCGAAUUAAUUUUUCCUUGGCACUUAUAUACAUAUAGUACAUGUAACAACAUUUCAAGUCAAAAGUGUUAGAUACAAUGUUGAAUCAUAAUCCCGUCAACAUUUAAAACAUAAUCACAUAGCAAUCUAUAUAUCAAAUUUCAUCAAUACCAAUUCAUUUUCAAUUCAAGAUUUAAUUCCAUUUUCAACCAUUUAAUCAUCCUCUGAUGGAACUAUAGUAAAAAAGGUGCAUGGGAAUAUUUUGCUGAACUGACUCACACAAGUUGACUUUAUAUUAGAAUUGUUCACACACGUUAACUUUGUAAUUUAUAUUAUGUAAAAUUUAAGAUUUUUAUAUUAUGUAAAUCAAAGCUUAAUUAGUAUAGAAUUUUCAAAAUAAUAUGGCUGUAUAAAGAUAAAAUUCUUGAUAUAAGUCUCAACAAGGGAAAAAUUAAGGAUAGAAAAAUUGUGGUGGAAAGGGGAUCAAUUUCUCCUAAACAGGUGGAGAGCCGGAGAAUGAUAAGUGAAGGAAGAUGGUUGAUGUGAAGGCUAAGAGUAAUUGUUAAAGGUUACUAACAGGGGAAGAUCCCUUUCUCAUGAAGAUGAUUUUUAAACACCAUGUUAAUUGUUUAUGGGCCAUCAUGUUUGACGAUAAUUUUUAAAUACCUUGUUAAUUGUAUAUAGUACAUCAUGUUUGGCAAUGAUUUUUAAAGACUUUUAAACGUCACAUUAAUUGUUUAAUUGUUUAUGGCCCAUUGCCCAUGUUACUUUUAUUAAAUUUUGGGUAAACUACAAUUUAAUCACUUAAUUUUUAUAAAAUUUCAUUUUGGUCAUAAAAAAAUUGUAUGGAAUGAGAGUCUCAGGAUAAAACAAAAAUUAGGAUAAAUGUAAUGCUGAAAUGAAUAUAGUGGGAAUCUUUAAUGUUUAUGGCCAAACCCCACCUCUCCUAUCCUAUACUUCAUCUAUAAUAAUGGUUCUUGGCUUCUUCUAUCCUAUACCUCAAUUAUUUGGAUUAGAUUGAAAAACAAUUGACACUUGAUUUGAUUGUGAAAGAAGUUUUAGUUUAAUGAUAUGAAUGAGUUAAAUUUUAAAUUUAUAAUAUUUAACUUGAGUGUGAAUGAAUUUUUGACUUAAUUGAAAAUUUAAAAUUUUAGCUUCGAGUCUUAUUUAAUUAUGUGAGUAUAUCAUAUAUAAAUUUUGUUUAAAUUUAUUUUGAUUUAAUUCUCAUACUAUAUAAACUUUAUUCUUAAUUAAAUUUAGAUAUAUUCUAAUUAUCAAUUUAAUCAUAUAUUGUAACGAUGAAUUAGGAUUAUAGUUAAUUAUAUAUUGAAACAAAAUAAUGAGUUUAAGGAAUUAAAAGAUAUUAUUAUAUUUUAUAAAAAUUGAAUAGAUUAAUAAUUAAUUCGAGAUUAAAAAAUUGUCUAUCUUUAUUUCGCCCCUCAGUUUAAUUUAUUAUUUUCCCUAAUUUUAAAUCCAAAUAAUAAGGAGAAGAAAAAGAUAAAAGCAAACCUUUUUUACGGUCUGAACUAAACCCCAUGGGGUGUGGAAAAUUGCAAGUUUCCAGAAUAACGAAGUUCAGUUUUCGUCGGUGUUUCUAUGUGACUGUGUUUCUAUGGUAAGGAAUGGUGUAAAAAAGUUUACGGUUUAAGGUUUUGUUAUAUACGGAAGGAAAGCGCCUUUCAAGAUUAUUAGUAGCACUUAUUCUCGUGUUGUGUUUUGUAUUGAGUUGUACCUUUUUUUAGUGUAUGUAUUGUGGACCUGUGGUACAAGUUUAGUUCUUUUGAGUGUCUUGUGAUGUUAAGUAUGUUUUGUUGGGGCUCUUGGCUCCUAUGAUAAUAAAAUAUAUUUCAAGCAUAGUACUUUUUUUAUAUUUAAAAUUUAAUAUUAUACUUUUAUUUUAAGGUAAUCUCUCUACUACAACAAUGUUUAAUAUUAAUAUGAACUCAUGUUGCGAUUUACUAUUACCAACUAAUUGGAAUGCAACAUCUAUUUAAACUUCAACAUGAAACUAAAUUCUUCUAUAUAAACUAGAAAAAUAUCAUUAGUUCUUAAGUAAUUUCACCUCAAUCCAAUGACCAUUGUAUAGUCUCAAUUUUAUUCGGCCCAAACAAAUAAAAAGUCCAUUAACAGUCGCGGCAAGACUCUCUGACUUGGCAAUGUCGCAAUGUCAAGAUUCGUAGCCGUGAUGUGAACCCUAUAUUUGACAAAAAUAUACAAUUUGGUACCUAAUUCAAAGCUCCAACUAAAAUCAUGUAAAUGACUUAAACUUACCUAAAACAUGCAAAGUAAGUUCAAACAUAUCAUUUCAAUUCCAAAGCAAUUCAUAUUACCAUUUCAUCAAUGAAUCAUUCCAUUUCAAACAAUCAUCACAUUAGUUCUUUCAUUUUUUCCAUUUUAGUCAACAUAUGCAAACCAACUUAAAUAGAUCACAUUCCAACUUUCCAAAUACCAAGCUAAGACCCUAUCAGAGGGAGAAUGUUACAGCUACAACACUUCUUAAAUUUCAUUAGCUUAAUAAUAGCUAUUCAAAUAGUUAACAUUGUAACCAUGCUUCUUUACAUGUAGUAAUUGCAUUUGUUAUUCUACCUAGCUUAUGAAAAAUCUCAAAUUUGCAAUUUAUUAUUCACAAGCCAAACAACCAAUUUAUUAUUCCAACCAACCAAUUUAUUAUUCACAUGCCAACCAAUUUGUUUUAUUGAAGUUAUUAUACUUAUAAGCUUUCACAUAUAACCAUGCUUCUUUACAUAUAUUAAUUGCAUUUAUUGUUGUACCUCAUGAAAGAUUUUCAAAUUUGCAACAUAUUAUUUGCAUACCAACCAACCACUUUUUUUUUAUUGAAGUUAUUAUACUUAUAAGCUUUCACAUGUAACCAUGCUUCUUGUAACACAUUUCAUUGGAUCCGAUUGUUGGGUCCGAACUAUAGGAUGCUACAGUCAUUGUCAAAGCAACUACAGUCAGAAUUAUGAUAAGAUAAUUUUCAUUUAAACAUCAAUCACGAUUCAAUUACAGCAAUACAUUAAUUAUGAGCUUUAAUCGAGCUUACGAAAGCUUUUUUGGCAGUCUGAACAAGAAUUAGGACCAAACUGUAAAUUGGCUAAAUUUACUUAUAUCCACCAAAUUAUUAAAAUUUUAAAAUAUAUUCAAAAAAUUAGGACAAACAUUGGAUGAAACCACAAGGGAAAUUACAAACAGGAUCAAAUUGAAAGAAAAGCAAAAUGACAUGGAAGGAGUAAAAGAAGAGAUGGCUAAAUUGCCUGAAAAUUUAGCACCUAUAUUAAGCAACAUUGAUGAUAAAACACAUAGGAUGGAACCUAACUCAUGAAAAAUCUCAAAUUUGCAACCCCAUAUUAUUCACAUGCCAACCAACCAAAUUUUUUUGUCCUUUUUAGGGUCUACAAGACAGGUAGCAACCAUUAUUGAAGAAUUAGUCACGUUUUAAAUAUUUUCUUCUAAGUAAGCACAACGACAUUAAGAAAUUUACUUUUUAGAGUCUGUAUAAGGAAAGGGCCUUAGGAUUUGCUACUGCCACACUCGCUUCAGCAACAAUCGCUUCUAAUUUUCAGUCUGAGCGGUUCGAAGUAAUUAACUAGGUGAUUUUGUAGACUGUUUUUGGCUGAGUGAGUGAUGUUGGAAAAAAGGUGGCAAAAUGGCUACGAUAACGACAAAUGUUUCUAUAGCUUAUAUAAUAAACAUAAGGAAAAUAUUUUUGGUGUAAUAUCAAAUUUCGCUUCUAAUUUUUAUUAUUUUCAAUUUGAUUUUUAUUUUUUAGUAAAAUUUAGCUUUUUACUUUUGAAAGAGUUAAAUUGAUUAUCAAUCCUUAAACUGAAUUAAUAUUUUUCAAAAAUAAUGACUAAAAUAUUAAAUUUUAAACAUGAUAACUCAUAUGACAAUUCACGUGUACAUUUUUUAUUAUUAUUUUAAAAUUAUUUAUUGACAUAGCAUAUAAGAAAAUGAUUAUUAUGUUAGCAUGAAGUGCAUAUGGAUUGUCACACGAGUUGUAACACCAACAACGUAAAAAAUUAAUAUUUUAAUCAAUAUUUCUGUUAAAGAAAAGCAAUUUGACUUUUUUUUUGAAAGGUUCAUAGCUAAAUUUAGCUUAAAUAAUAAUAAUAAUGAUAAAAAAUAAAAGUCAAUUUGACAGAAAAUGUAAAUGUGGAGGACUAAAUUUAUUAUUAUGUCAUUUUUCUAAGUUUCACUUAUAAAAAUACAAUAUAGGUCCAAGUACAAAUAUGUGUCUGGAUUAAUCUAGAAAGAACUAGACAAAAUCUAUACAUGAUAUACGCAUAGAUGAGAGUGAGACCCAUUUUUAUAUCUACAACACUUCUUGAAUUUCAUACUCUUAAUACUAGCUUUUUUGUUGUUUGUUUCGCUUCAUUUGAUCUGUUUUGUUGUAAAAAAACAUAAAGAAAAACAUUCAAAAGUUUAACGUUAUAACAUUCCAAAAGAAAACACAUUCAAUAACUAACAUAUCUUGUAUUCUUGUAUUCUUUGAUCAAAUAGUGCAAGUGUAUUUAUACAGACUUUUGGAGGGUAACUACUGAACUGCUACUAACAACUUUUUAGCAGAAAGUUUAACAACUUAACCACCUAACAGAUUGCAUUUACCUAUGCUCUAAGAUUCUGUAAUGCGAAAUCAUACUUCAAAUUGUAAUUAUUACUUCAUAACAAUACAAGAUUUUCGUUACAAUGCUAGGAUUACUUAUAAACCUCAACCAUUAAAUGAGAGGAUAAAGACACUUUAAUAAGUUCGAAUCUUCGUCCUUUUGUAUUGACAAUAAUACUGAUAUCAAUCGAACUAAAACUCAGUAUAACAAUGGUUAAAUGAAUUUUAAGUACACAUAUUACUCUUACUAUGUAAGUAUUUAGGAUAAAUCACCCUCCAUGGUCAAACAAAUGGACCCAGGCUAUAAUUUGUAUAUAAAAAAAAUUAAAAAGCAUUAGUAAAACAAAUGGACCCAGGCUAUAAUCACCCUCCACUCAUUAACAAUUGUCAUCACAGGCUUAAUGUGGCAUGUUAACUAAUUGAUGUGACUAGUUAACUUGCCACGUUGGACAAGUAGUCAAAGGGUCAAAAAGAAAAAAAGAUGAUUGGUUAAGGGUAAAAAGAAAAAUAAGAGAAAUGAAGAAGAAGAAGAAGAAGAAGAAAAGAAGAACAGGGAAGGAAGAAGGGAAAAUGGAAGUAAAAGGGUCAAAAAGAAAAGAAAAGAUGAUUGGUUAAGGGUAAAAAGAAAAAUAAGAGAAAUCGAGAAGAAGAAAAAAUGAAGAACAGGGGAGGAAGAAGGGAAAAUGGAAGGAGCUUCCAAGCUUCAUACCAACGAUUCCCAAGGGUCAAAAUCUGGGAACUUGGAUUUUGAUCCUUGGGAAUCACUGUUACGAAGUCCUUCCAUUUUCUCCUUUUCUUCUUUUUCUCCAUUUAUUCUCUUAUUCUUCUUUUUUUUUUGUUCUUCUACUGCCCAAACUUCUUAAAUGGGUUUGUUUAAAUGACAGCUAGCCUACCCUUAAAUGCCAUUCACUUUUUCGUUACGUUUUGUUAAAAAGAUUGUUUAAAUGACAGAAAAUGGUUAAAAAGAUUGUUUUGUUAGCUACCCCAAAAUUGAGUGAUUGUUGCUGUAAUUUACCCCAUUUCUUAUUUGAAAUUGUAAAUUUUUAACAAGCUAAAUUUAAGGUUUUCAAAAUUCAACUCAUUAAGUUAUCGAUUUAUAAGUCUAAUUGGUUUGACGAAUUCAUCCGAUUAAUUAAAUUAAUUAUUAAAAAUUUUUGAUUUGAUUGCCCAAUUCAAUUAGUUUUUUUUUGGUUCAACCUGUUCAUAUAGAUUCCCAAGUCGAUUGGUCCAAUGAUUUCCUUCGGACUAAUACCUUAAUUAAUUUCCAAUCCAAAUCGAUUCAAAUAAUAUUAACUAAAAUACAAUUUUUAUUAUUUUAUUAAUGCAAAAAUUUUACCAUUUUAAAGAUAUUAAAAUAUAAAAUUUCUAUUUUAAAAAGUUGGAUUUGAAAUCAUAAUUUUUUUCCUAAAGAAAUGUACACUCAACAGGACCAAAGGAAUUCACAGGGAAAUUUUGUUUUAUGGACAGUCUUCAUCACAAAUGAUCCUAUCAAAUUAAAAGAGGAUAUAUCACCUUUUUUUCAUAUCAUAUAUACAUUGGGACUAAACUUCUAAAUAAAAAAUGAUGUGUCUUUUUUUAAUUGAGUGGGACCAUAGAUGAUGUGGUGAAAAUGGUCCAUUAAAUAAUUUAUCACAAGCAAGAGUAAUUCCAAAAAUAGAAAACUACAUUUUAAUUCUUUAAAAAUUAUUAAAUUAUAAAUUUAUAUAUUAUAAAAUUACACUUUGAUCCUCAAAAUGGAAAAAAUAUUUUGUUCAGUCUUUGACCACACCUAAUAAAAAGGAUUGGUGGUGACUCCAUUUUCGUUUUUUAAAUAAAAAGUCAAUUCCCAAAAAAAAGAUUUCGACAACCAUCACUUGGAUAACUUUGGUUAUCAGCUCAUGACACUUAGAGCUAUACAAUAUAUUUGGUGUUUGGCACAAUAUGGCAUACAUAGUAGUUUUCACUACUAAAAGAUAUGGUGCCUUACUCAUUCUUCUCUUAUCUUCCAAAGUUUUAGGAUUCAUAUCAUUCGAGUGAUGUACACUGUCAAUACUAUUUUUUUUGUAAAAGAGGUCGACUUUUUGUUUAAAAAUGAAAAUGGAGUCACCACCAAUCCUUUUUAUUUAGGUGUGAUAGGAUCACCUCGUAAUUUAAUCAUUUUAAUAAAAGUUUAAAUUUACUAAAAAAAUAAGUAAGUUAGUUUCUAUACAUCAGAUCAAAGAGCAAAUUGAUCAUUUUAUUACAUUUUUAAUCUUUUUCUAUCAUUAAAAAUUGAUUCAUAUACAUAAGUUUGAGGUACAGUGUCACGUCACAUGUUAUGAUUUGGUUAUUCCGUUAGUCACACCAGUUUUUAACAUUACAAAUAGAUGAAAAUUUUAACAGAAAUGACCAAGUUACUUUUUGAUCUAACAUAUAGGGACUAAUUUACUCAUUUUUCAAUAUAGAGAGCAAAAUGUAAUUCAACUCAAUGUACAAGGACUGUUAUUUUUUUUUCCAAUUUCACAUUAUUUUAUCAUAUUAUAUAUAUUGUUAGGAUCGUCCCGAUUAAGCAACGAACAAGUAAAAAUAGUAGAAGAAAUUGAGAAGAUGAACACACAAAUUUAACGUGGAAAAACCCCUCAAAAGAGGAUAAAAAACCACGGGCAAAGAUAAUUUUACUAUAAUGGCAAAAGAAUGAAGAGUACAAAAGAUGGAGAUAAAAACUAAACCCCGAAAACUCGAAAAACAAAGAACCCUCAAACGUAAACACAAAAUUCUCUGAAUGUGUUAUGAGUUCUAAUCUAAUGGGUGUCUCUUUUUAAUUCUAAGAUUGUAAAGGAGCCUAUUUAUAGGCUAAAUUAGUAAGUCAAAUAAACUAUACUAAUAAAUGCUAAAUAUAUUAUACUAAUAAAUACUAAAUCUUCUAGAAAGAAAAUAUAUUUUUGUUUAACUUGACUUGCAAGCAAUCUCUUAGAAUUUGGGUCACACAAUUCUAACAAUCUCCACCUUGACACGAAUUCUUUCAAUGCCAUCUUUGCCAAAACCCGCCACGAGCCUAUCUUGAACUAUGCAGGGAAUUAACUGAGUCGAAUCUAUGCUUAGAAGCUAGAAGACUUCUAGCCUUCGACUUGUGCACUGCCAAAUCAAAACUAACCCGGGUCUGAUUUUCACGAAUACAGUGCCCUAACUUUUCAAAACCUGCAUCCAAAAGAGAACCUCUCUUCAACGAAACGGUCAUACCUUUUUCCCUCCUAUGACCAAGUUGCCUCCGCUUCAAAUGAGUUGACUUUGACUCCGUAACGGACGAGGGACGUCCGAUUUCACCGGUCACUGUAGAACCUUCCAGAAUAUAAAGACUGCCGGUUCUUUUACCUUUUAACAAAACGAGAGCUCCACGAGAUACUUUAAUGUCGCUCGACUCGAUGUUGAUUCUGCAUCCUUUCAAGUCUAAAAUACUCAAGGAGAUGAGAUUCUUUCGUAAAUCGGGUACAUACCUGACAUCUGAGAGUGUCCUAAUCGUCCCAUCGUGUAUCCUAAUUUUAACAGUACCAAUACCGAUUAUUUUACUAGAUGAAUCGUUUCCCAUGUGCACAACUCCACCUUCAACUGAACUGUAUGUGGAGAACCAUUCUCUAUUGGGACACAUGUGGAAAGAACAUCCUGAAUCUAGGAUCCACUCAGACGUAAGCUUGGAGUUAUCGCUCGUUGACACUAACAAGAAAUCAUCACCGCCUUCAUCGACCAAAUUAGCACCAGCUACAUCUUCCUCGUUACUCUCAGCAGCUCUUUUAUUUCGCAGUUUAAAACAAUCUGCUUUGACGUGACCUAACUUUUUGCAAUAGCGACACCUUUUGUCUCGUUUCUUUGAUGCUACCAAAACGGAAGCUUGUCUAUCUGCUUUGCUAUUCAAAUCAAACUCAUUGUCGAGUUUGUCUCUACUCAACAAAUAACCUUUCACAUCUUCAAACGAGAGUUUGUCUCUGCCAUAAAUCAGGGUCUCCCUGAAAGACUUGUAUGAAGAGGGUAAAGAGCACAAUAAUAGCAUAGCUUGAUCUUCAUCGUCAAUAUGAACCUCAACGUUCUUUAAAUCAUUUAAAAGAGUAAUGAAUUGAUUGAUGUGAUCUUUAAGAAGCUCACCUUCGUUCAUGCGAAACGUAAAUAGACGUUGUUUCAACACUAAACGGUUAGCCAGAGACUUAGUCGCAUAAAGAGUUUCUAACCUUUUCCACAAGGCGAAUGAGGUCUUCUCCAUCAAUACCUCCUGCAAUACUGUAUUCGCGAGACACAACUGGAUUGCAGACAAGGCCUUUUCAUCAAGCUCUUCCCAUUUUGUUUGAUUUAGAUUCUCAGGCUUUUUCCCUGUAACAACCUUUUUCAAGCCAUUUUGAACUAGAAUUGCCAUCAUCCGAACUUGCCACAGAUUGAAAUUUGUCUCACCAUCGAACUUCUCAAUUUCAAACCUUGUUGCUGCCAUCUCUGACCGGGCUGAUCUAUGAAAGUUAAACUAUCUCUGAUACCACUUGUUAAGAUCGUCCCGAUUAAGCAACGAACAAGUAAAAAUAGUAGAAGAAAUUGAGAAGAUGAACACACAAAUUUAACGUGGAAAAACCCCUCAAAAGAGGAUAAAAAACCACGGGCAAAGAUAAUUUUACUAUAAUGGCAAAAGAAUGAAGAGUACAAAAGAUGGAGAUAAAAACUAAACCCCGAAAACCCGAAAAACAAAGAACCCUCAAACGUAAACACAAAAUUCUCUGAAUGUGUUAUGAGUUCUAAUCUAAUGGGUGUCUCUUUUUAAUUCUAAGAUUGUAAAGGAGCCUAUUUAUAGGCUAAAUUAGUAAGUCAAAUAAACUAUACUAAUAAAUGCUAAAUAUAUUAUACUAAUAAAUACUAAAUCUUCUAGAAAGAAAAUAUAUUUUUGUUUAACUUGACUUGCAAGCAAUCUCUUAGAAUUUGGGUUACACAAUUCUAACAUAUAUAUAUUAGCAUACGCCUAUCAUGCAAAUGGUAUAAUGUCCAGAUUAUCUGGUCUUUGAUUUCAUUUGUCAAUUAAUGAUUGUGGAUUGACAAUAUUGACCAUUUUAUGCACGGGGACUACUCAUCUACUCCUCUUCUGCCAUUCUCACUACCCAUUUGCAUUCAUUUUCUCUGCCCUACUGCUCCUCUGCAGUGCACUCUCCAAUUGCAUUUAAAGACAAUAUAUACGUAUAGAUUGUAAAUUUUCUUGGCUGGAAGCUCACUGUAAGCCAAAAUCAAAACAAACUUUUGAUGGUUUAAUUGUUUUUUAGCCCUUCAAUUUCAGGUGCUAUGAGAAAUGGAUUACAACCUCAUCUUGUCAUUAUCCCAAAAUCAAAACAAGCAACUCUUGGUUGAAAGUUGAAACCAAGAGCCAAGUCAAAAUUGUUUUAGGAUGAGUCCAAAAUGAAUAAUGAAUUUGAAGGUUCAAAAUAAAAUUUUAUUAUUAUAUUAAUUUAUAAUUUCAUAAAUUUUAAAAGGAUUAAAUAAUAAAUUUACUAAUUUAAGAAGACAAUAGGGAUGAUCAAAUCUAAUUGAACCUAUCAGCGAUCGGAUCGGGAUGGAUUUUUUAAAUUUAAAAAAUUAAAUAGAUUGAAUCGAAAAUCUAGGAGUUACAAAAUUCUCAUAAAUAACAAGAGUUUACAAAAAGAACACUUACUUUGGUUGAUGUAUGGUAUAAUAAGUCUGCAAAGCACCGAUAAAAAGUGCAGCAAUGGCACCCACAAAUGCGAAAAACGUCCAACGAGUCCUAAAAAAAGUACGGUAAACUUGAGCUGGAUAUCUAAUCCACAGAUUGUUUUGAUGAUCAUGUAUUUUCCGUUUAACCCCACUGUAAAUCAUCGGACUAGGAACCAAACCAGUGUUCAUCUUGUUGAAAAGCUUAGCCACUUCUUUAUCACUCCCCAAUCUAUUGUAUAAUAUGCCGACGUCUCUCAGUUCCUUAACAUCUUCGGCUUCAUCGAUCAAUGAACCAAGGAAACACAUAUAUGAAGUGACGGCGAAAUCGUUCUGGAAAUCCGGACACAUUUCGUAAGCUAUUAAGUUCAUGGUUGAAUCAUCGACGGAGAUCGGCGGUAAACAUAAUUUUCCGACGAAUAAGAUACGGUUGAAACUGAUGUCGGUUAAAUAACUUGUUUCGCUUGCUUCUAACCAUAUCCCGGUGUUUUUAAGCUCUUUUACGUUAUGAAUGGUGUGUGAAUGGCACCGUUUUGUUCUUUCUUCUUUUCUAUCUUCGUGUUCAAUGCAAAACGGAAAACACCACCGCCGUAGUUUUUCUAUUUUGAAAAGGAGUCUUUUAUGAAUUCCCCACCCCCGUGGUUUUUCUUUUUUGAAAAGGAGUCUUACUCGUAGUAGAUGCAAUAAGUGAAUUGGCGUUCCUUCUUGCUGCGGCCACCAGUCACUAGAGCCAAAUCUGUGUUAGUCAGGAGCCAGCUAAAAUCAAGGUUUUCAAUGGUUGAAUCAAAUCAUUAUUAUUUUAAUAAAAAAUUAUUUAAAUUAUUAAAUUACAUUUUAAACCUUUUAAAAAUUAUUAAAUUAUAAAUUUAUAUACAAUAAAAUUAUACUUUGACUCCUCAAAAUGAAUAAAAAAUUGUUCAAACACUUUUGAAAAAUGAUGAAAUUAUAAAUUAAUACAUAAAAAAAAUCUAAGAAUCAAACCAAACUUGUGGAUCGGCCUAAUUAGAUAGAGAAUCGAGCAAGGUACUGAUCCAGAAUAAUAAGUUAAAUCCAUUGAAUCCAAUCAUCGAAUCGAUUUUUUAUAUAUUUUUAAUAUUUUUAAAAAUUUAUAUAUAUAAUUAAACUGAAUGAACUUAUCAACUAGAAAUGAGAGUCUAAUAGAUUCCAUCACCCAUCUAGUUAUAAAAACCUUUUAACUUUUAUAAACUCCACAAAAAUGGUUAAAAAGACUGUUUUGCCAGCUACCCCAAAGUUGAGUGAUUGUUGCUGUAAUUUACCCCAUUUCUUAUUUGAAAUUGUAAAUUUUUAACAAGCUAAAUUUAAGGUUUUCAAAAUUCAACUCGUUAAGUUAUCGAUUUAUAAGUCUAAUUGGUUUGACGAAUUCAUCCGAUUAAUUAAAUCAAUUAUUAAAAAUUUUCGAUUUGAUUGCCCAAUUCAAUUAGUUUUUUUUUUGGUUCAACCUGUUCAUAUAGAUUCCCAAGUCGAUUGGUCCAAUGAUUUCCUUCGGACUAAUACCUUAAUUAAUUUCCAAUCCAAAUCGAUUCAAAUAAUAUUGGCUAAAAUACAAUUUUUAUUAUUUUAUUAAUGCAAAAAUUUUACCAUUUUAAAGAUAUUAAAAUAUAAAAUUUCUAUUUUAAAAAGUUGGAUUUGAAAUCAUAAUUUUUUUUCUAAAGAAAUGUACACUCAACAGGACCAAAGGAAUUGGCAGGGAAAUUUUGUUUUAUGGACCGUUUUCAUCACAAAUGAUCUUAUCAAAUUAAAAGAGGAUAGAUCAUCUUUUUUUUCAUAUCAUAUAUACAUUGGGACUAAACUUCCAAAUAAAAAAUAAUGUGUCUUUUUUUAAUUGAGUGGGACCAUAGAUGAUGUGGUGAAAAUGGUCCAUUAAAUAAUUUAUCACAAGCAAGAGUAAUUCCAAAAAUAGAAAAUUACAUUUUAAUUCUUUAAAAAUUAUUAAAUUAUAAAUUUAUAUAUUAUAAAAUUACACUUUGAUCCUCAAAAUGGAAAAAAUAUUUUGUUCAGUCUUUUUUUUUUAAAAAAAUAUGAACUUAUAAAUCAAUACAUGAAAAAAUUUAAGCGUCAGGCUAGUUGGAAAGAAAAGAUGAUUGGUUAAGGGUAAAAAGGAAAAUAAGAGAAAUGGAAAAGAAGAAGAAAAGAAGAACAGGGGAGGAAGAAGGGAAAAUGGAAGGAGCUUCCAAGCUUCAUACCAACGAUUCCCAAGGGUCAAAAUCUGGGAAUUUGGAUUUUGAUCCUUGGGAAUUACUGUUACGAAGUCCUUCCAUUUUCUCCUCUUCUUCUUUUCUUCUUUUUCUCCAUUUCUUCUCUUAUUCUUCUUCUUUUUUUUUGUUCUUCUACUGCCCAAACUUCUUAAAUGGGUUUGUUUAAAUGACAGCUAGCCUACCCUUAAAUGUCAUGUCACUUUUUCGUUACGUCUGUAACGAAAAAUGGUUAAAAAGACUGUUUUGUCAGCUACCCCAAAGUUGAGUGAUUAUUGCUAUAAUUUACCCUAUUUCUUAUUUGAAAUUGUAAAUUUUUAACCAGCUAAAUUUAAGGUUUUCAAAACCCAACUCGUUAAGUUAUCGAUUUAUAAUUCUAAUUGGUCUAAUGAAUUCAUCCGAUUAAUUAAAUUAAUUAUUAAAAAUUUUCCAUUUGAUUGCCCAAUUCAAUUAAUUUUUUUUGGUUCAACCUGUUCAUAUAGAUUCCCAAAUCAAUUGGUCCAAUGACUUCCUUCAGACUAAUACCUUAAUUAAUUUCCAAUCCAAAUCGAUUCAAAUAAUAUUGGCUAAAAUACAAUUUUUAUUAUUUUAUUAAUGCAAAAAUUUUACCAUUUUAAAGAUAUUAAAAUAUAAAAUUUCUAUUUUAAAAAGUUGGAUUUGAAAUCAUAAUUUUUUUUCUAAAGAAAUGUACACUCAACAGGACCAAAGGAAUUGGCAGGGAAAUUUUGUUUUAUGGACCGUUUUCAUCACAAAUGAUCUUAUCAAAUUAAAAGAGGAUAGAUCAUCUUUUUUUUCAUAUCAUAUAUACAUUGGGACUAAACUUCCAAAUAAAAAAUAAUGUGUCUUUUUUUAAUUGAGUGGGACCAUAGAUGAUGUGGUGAAAAUGGUCCAUUAAAUAAUUUAUCACAAGCAAGAGUAAUUCCAAAAAUAGAAAAUUACAUUUUAAUUCUUUAAAAAUUAUUAAAUUAUAAAUUUAUAUAUAAUAAAAUUACACUUUGACCCUCAAAAUGGAAAAAAUAUUUUGUUCAAUCUUUUUAAAAAAAUAUGAACUUAUAAAUCAAUACAUGAAAAAAUUUAAGGAUUCGACAAAACUUAUCGGUCAGGCUAGUUGUUGAGAAAAUUGAACAAGAUAUUGAUCCAGAAUAAGAGAUUAGAUUAGAUGAAUUGAGUCAUCGAAUGGAUUUUCUUUAUAUGUUUAAUAUAUCUUUAAUAUUUUCAAAAACUUAUAUAACUGAAUCGAAUAAACUAAUCAAUCAAAAUUAAGAGUAAUCAAUGUAAAAACCUUUUAACAUUUAUAACCUCGACAAAAUGAUUUUUUUAUUUAUUUUUAAAUUCCUUAAAUUACCUGUCCUCGGCUGGGGUGAUAACAGUGUCGUCGAUGAACCUUUUGACUGCAUUCAUGAACUUUUCGCCAUCACUCGAGCUUGUAAGCAAUUCAAGAACACGAAAAGGUAUUUGGUUCUCCAACAAUAACAGAUCCGAGUACACAAAUGUCAGCAAAUCGUUUUUAAUAAACAACCGGUCAUAUUCAGAAGAAAUAUCAUCACCGUAACGCAUAUAAACUGCUUGUAAAAUUGCGCAGCCGUCAACGAAGAACAUCCAAGCCAGUUCCUCGUCAUCGUCGCUAUAGUUCGCUAAUUCCUGUGGAUCAUAGCAUUUCUUUAAGUCAUCGAUCUCUGCCUUCAUGUUGCUGUACUCCUCAUUGUCGUCAAUGUUUCUGACGAAAUGUGCUGCUAAUUUGAGCUUGAGAUCAUUGGAUUCUUGGAGGGUGCCAUCAUCGUGGUGGAGUGGGCCGAUUGAGAUCACUUUCGGCUUGAAAUACUUCUUGAAAUCUUCGUUACGGCUAAGGGUUGAUGGGACUUUUCGGAUCAAUGGAUUGCAUGUGCCGUUGGAAGCUUUGACUAAUGACGCGAGAUUCGCUAAUUCGCCCUUCCAGCGUAGCAAGUCAAUACGAAUGCUCACGAAAUCGUUGUUGUUGGUGAUUGUUUGAUCAGUGGAAACUGCUCCGACGGCGCCGCCUCCUUCCUCCGUGGACGGCAUUUUCAGGCUGAGCGGUUGGAAGUAAUAAAGAAGGUGAUUUUGUAAACUGUUUUUGGCUGAGUGAGUGAUGUUGGAGAAAAGGUGGCAAAAUGGCUACGAUGAUGACAAAUAUUUUAUAGCCUACAUGAUAAACAUAUAUGGGAAAUACUUAAGGUGUAAUUCAAAUUUACCCCUUAGUGUUUAUAUUUUUAUUAAUAUAAUUUUAAUUUUUUAAUUAAAUUUAAUUCUCUUUUGAAAGAGUCAAUGAUAAAAAAGAAAAGUUAAAUUAAUAUUUUUUAACAAAAAUAGUAAUAAAUAUUAAAAUUAAGAAUAAUAUUAUAGAACCUAAAUACUCAACACAACCCAAAACCUUCGCCUUAACCAAGAAACUAAUACUUCCUAAAUUUCAUUAGCUUAAUAAUAGCUAUUCAAAUAUAUUUUUUCAUUGUAUUACUUAAAUUAUUAUUACUUACUUUAACAUUUAAAUUAUCAUUAUAUUACAUGAUUAGUUCCAAAUAUUUAACAUUGUAACUAUGCUUCUUUAAAUAUAGUAAUUGCAUUUGUUAUUCACAUGUUAUUCACAUGCCAACCAACCAAUUUAUUAUUCACAUUCCUAACUUUCUAAAUGCAUCAAAUAUUUCAUAUUCAUGUACUAACAAAGAUCAUGCCAAGAACCCACAUGCAGAGUCAUUAUAUACCACAUUUAACUCAACAAGACUUUUACAUAACCAAAGAUUACUCCAAACGUUUAUACGCAUGUCGCAAUCCUUGACUCAAAUGAUAAAAAAAAAAACACCAAAUUGACAAUAAAAUAAUGUAAGCUUCGAACGAUCCAAUCGACAUGUUCCACAAUGUAACACCUAAAAGGAAAAAGAAAACAAUGGGGUAAGCAUAUAAGAUGCUUAGUAAACUCAUAUGUAAUCUAAAACUUACCUAGAUUAAUUGAACAUAAAAAUUACUGAAUAAUCUAUCAAAUUUAUUUUUCCAUGGCACGUAGAUAUCGUAUAUGUAACAACAUUUCAAGUCGAAAAUGUUAAAUACAAUGUUGAAUCAUUAUGUCUUCUUUUCUUAAGUUUCACUUAUAGAAAUAUAAUAUAGGUUCAAGUACAAAUAUAUGUCUCGAUUAAUCUAGAAAGAAUUAGACAAAAUUCACAUAUGAUAUACGCAUAUAAUGAGUGUGAGACUCACACAUCACAAUUGAGAAUAAUGUUAUAGAACCUAAAUACUCAACAACCCAAAACCUUUGCGUUAAGCAAGAAGCUAAGACCCUAUCGGAGGGAGAAUUUUAUAUCUACAACACUUCUUAAAUUUCAUUAGCUUAACAAUAGCUAUUCAAAUAUUUAACAUUGUAACCAUGCUUCUUUACAUAUAGUAAUUGCAUUUGUUAUUCUACCCAACUUAUGAAAAAUCUCAAAUUUGCAAUUUAUUAUUCACAUGCCAACCAACCAAUUUAUUAUUCACGUGCCAACCAAUUUGUUUUAUCGAAGUUAUUAUACUUAUAAGCUUUCACAUAUAACCAUGCUUCUUUACAUAUAUUAAUUGCAUUUAUUGUUGUACCUCAUGAAAAUUUUCAAAUUUGCAACAACAUAUUAUUCGCAUGCCAACCAACCUCUUUUUUUUUAUUGAAGUUAUUAUACUUAUAAGCAUUCACAUUUAACCAUGCUUCUUGUAACACUUUUCAUUGGACCCAAUCGUUGGGUCCGAUCUACAAGACUCUACAGUCAUUGUCAAAGCAACUACAGUCGAAAUUACGAUAAGAUAAUUUUCAUUUAAACAUCAAGCAAGAUUCAACUACAGUAAUACAUUAAUUAUGAGUUUUAAUCGAGCUUACAAAAGCUUUUUUGGUAGUCCGAACAAGAAUUAGGACCAAACUAUAAAGAUUUGAAAAGUUUGGAGCGACGUCGCAACUUCAGCUUUUCCUCAUCGCAACAUGACCAUCUCAGUAUGUCACAUCAUAUCGAAAAGCCUAUGCUCAUCGCAGCGAGACUCUCUGACUUGGCAAUGUCGCAAUGUCAAGAUUCGUAGCCGUGAUGUGAACUCUAUAUUUGACAAAAAUAUACAAUUUGGUACCUAAUUCAAAGCUCCAACUAAAAUCAUGCAAGAAAAAUACAUUACGUGCCAUUUCUAAAUGACUUAAAACUUACCUUAAACAUGCUAAGUAAGUUUAAACAUAUCAUUUCAAUUCCAUAGCAAUUCAUAUUACCAUUUCAUCAAUUGUAUUCAACUUUUCAAUAACUUGUAACCAUGCUUCUUUACAUAUAGUAAUUGCAUUUGUUAUUCUACCUAAUUUAUGAAAAAUCUCAAAUUCACAAUUUAUUAUUCACAAGCCAAACAACCAAUUUAUUAUUCCAACCAACCAAUUUAUUAUUCACAUGCCAACCAAUUUGCUUUAUUGAAGUUAUUAUACUUAUAAGCUUUCACAUAUAACCAUGCUUCUUUACAUAUAUUAAUUGCAUUUAUUGUUGUACCUCAUGAAAAUUUUCAAAUUUGCAACAACAUAUUAUUCGCAUGCCAACCAACCUCUUUUUUUUUAUUAUUGAAGUUAUUAUACUUAAAAGCUUUCACAUGUAACCAUGCUUCUUGUAACACUUUUCAUUGGAUCCGAUCAUUGGGUCCGAUCUACAGAACGCUACAGUCAUUAUCAAAGCAACUACAGUCAGAAUUACGAUAAGAUAAUUUUUAUUUAAACGUCAAUCACGAUUCAAUUACAGUAAUACAUUAAUUAUGAGCUUUAAUCGAGCUUACGAAAACUUUUUUGGCAGUCCGAACAAGAAUUAGGACCAAACUGUAAAGAUUUGAAAAGUUUAGAGCGAUACUGCGACUUCAGCUUUUCCUCAUCGCAACAUGACCAUCUCAGUAUGUCACAUCAUAUCAAAAAGCCUAUGCUCGUCGCGGCGAGACUCUCUGACUUGGCAAUGUCGCAAUGUCAAGAUUCGUAGCCGUGAUGUGAACCCUAUAUUUGACAAAAAUAAACAAUUUGGUAUCUAAUUCAAAGCUCCAACUAGAAUUAUGCAAGAAAAAUACAUUACGUGCCAUUUCUAAAUGACUUAAAACUUACCUUAAACAUGCUAAGUAAGUUUAAACAUAUCAUUUCAAUUCCAUAGCAAUUCAUAUUACCAUUUCAUCAAUUGUAUUCAACUUUUCAAUAACUUAAACUAAAUAUCAACAAGUUAUACAAACAUCUACCAUUACCUUUAUCAUGCCAUAAUGAAUCAUUCCAUUUCAAACAAUCAUCACAUUAGUUCUUUCAUUUUUCUUUUUUAGUCAUCAUAUGCAAACCAACUUAAAUAGAUCACAUUCCAACUUUCUAAAUGCAUCAAAUAUUUCAUAGCAAAGAUCAUGCCAAGAACCCACAUGCAAAGUCAUUAUAUACCACAUUAAACUCAACAAAACUUUUACACAACCAAAGUCUACUACAAAUGUUUAUAUACAUGUCGCAAUCCUUGACUCAAAAUGAUAAAAAAUAAACUACCAAAUUGAUGAGAAAAUAGUUUAAGCUUAGAACAAUCCAACCGACGUGUUCUGCAAGGUAACAACCUAAAAGAAAAAAAGAAACAACGGGAUAAGCAUAUGAUAUGCUUAGUAAGCUCAUAUGGAAACUAAAACUUACCUAGAUCCAUUGAACAUAAAAAAUUACUCAAUAAGCUAUUGAAUUAAUUUUUCCUUGGCACUUAUAUACAUAUAGUACAUGUAACAACAUUGCAAGUCAAAAGUGUUAGAUACAAUGUUGAAUCAUAAUCCCAUCAACCUUUAAAACAUAAUCACAUAGCAAUCUACAUAUCAAAUUUCAUCAAUUUAUUUUUCAAUUCAAGAUUUAAUUCCAUUUCCAACCAUUUAAUCAUCCUCUGAUAAAACUAUAGUAAAAAAGACCUAGGUACAUGGGACUAUUUUGCUGACACUUUAACGAACUUUCUCACACAAGUUGAUUUUAUAUUAGAAUUGUUCACACAAGUUGACUUUGUAAUAAUUGCUCACACAAGCUAACUUUAUAUAAUGGAAUUGUUCACACAUCCUGACUUUGUAAAAUGCUCACACAAGCUGACUUUGUAAUACUUCCAUACAACUAAUAUUUAUGAUUCAAUUAAAUUCAAGACAAUUGUGCUAAAUUCUAACAAUUAUAUAUAUAUAUAUAUCCUUUUUUUCGGGAUCAUUCCAAAAAAAACCGUUUUUAAUUUUUGGUGCGGAACAAAAAAAAAGUGAAUUGAAUUUAAAGUUGGAUCGAGUGAAUAAAUGGAUAGAGCUCCACGGCCCCAAUUAUAGGGAAACAAAAAGUAACAAGCUUCUGUUCUCAAUUUGAAUAAUUACCUAAUCUAAUUAAACUUUAAAAAAAAAAUUAGUGCCUAAUGUGGUAAAGGUUUUUCUCAUGAGUAAAUUAUCGGUUUUUUUUUUGAGUCCUAAUUAUUAUUAUUAGGCAUUCCCUUUAUGGGUUAGCCAUGAAUGUGUAGAAGAAGCAGUAUAUUGAUAAAGAAAAUAACUUUUUUUCUAAAAUCAAAAGAGCGAUUGGGUUGAAAAAAUAAAGGAUUUCUAACCGUCAUAUAUGUUGAUUCAAAUAUAAUUCAUACCAAAAUAAAAUUGAUUAUUAAGUUAAAAUAAAAUUUAGGAUGUGAAAGAAGUUCAAAAAAAAAAUUAAUGCAAAAGAAAGAUAAGGGUAUUUUUUUUAGGUCAUGGAUGUAACAACGAAGCUCGGUUAUUGUUGGUGUUGUAUGGAAGAAUCGAAGAUGUAGUGAAUGAGUUUUUAGGGUUUUAAAGUUUAACAUUGAAAGAUUGUUGUUUGUGGGUAUGUGACUGUUUUCGAUGUAAGGAAUGGUAUAAAAAAAUUACGAUUUAGGGUUUUAUUAUAUAAAUAAAGAAAGCGCCUUUUAAGAUUGUUAGAGGCACCUAUCUUUGUUUUUAGUGUAUGUAUCAUGGUCCUGAUGAUGCGGUACAAGUUUAGUUCUUUUGAGUGUGUCUUGUGAUGUGAAGUCUGUUUUGUUGGGGCUCUUGGCUCCUAUGUUUCAAUGAUAAUAAAAUAUACGUCAAACAAAAUUCUCACAAAAAACAGAGUUUACAAAACGACUAGUAAACAACACUUACUUUGGUUGAUGUAUGGCAUAAUAAGUCUGCAAAGCACCAAGCAAAAGUGCAGUAAUGGCACCCACAAAUGCCAAAAACGUCCAAGGACUCCUAAAAUAAGUAUGAUAAGCUAGAGCUGCAUGCUUAAUCCGCAUAUUCUUACAAUGAUUAUGUAUUUUCCGUUUAACCCCACCGUAAAUCAUCGGACUAGGAACCAAAUCAGUGUUCAUCUUAUUGAAAAGGUUAGCCACUUCUUCAUCACUCCCCAAUCCGUUGUAUAGUAUGCCGGUGCCACUCAGGUCUUUAACAUCUUCGGCUUCAUCGAUCAAUAAAUCAAGGAAACACAUAUAUGAAGUGACAGUGAAAUCGUUUUUGAAAUCCGGGCACAUUUCGUAAGCUAUCAAGUUCAUGGUUGAAUCAUUGACGGCGAUUGGCGGUAAACAUAAUUUUCCAACGAAGAUACGGUUGAAACAGAUUCGUAGUAGAUUCAGUAGGUGAAUUGGACUUGCAGCUUCCACCAUUACCAUUUUCUAGAGCUAAAUCUGUGUCAAGUCAUCGAUUUAUAAGUUUAAUUGAUCCGAUGUAUUCAUAUUUGUUGAUUAAAUAAAUCAUUAAAAAUUUUGAUUUUAUUAUUUAGUUCAAUAAGUUUUUUUUUUUUUUUACAAUUCAACCUGAUUCUUAAGUCAAUCGAUCUAAUGACUUUCUUUAAACUCAUACCUCAAUUAAUUUUCAAUCCAAUAUAAUCCAAACAACAUUUCGUAAAAUAUAAUUUUAUUUUACCAUUUUGAAAAGUUGGAUUUGAAAAUGCACACUCAACAGGAUCAAUACAAAGGGACAGGCGAGGUCGUUCUCAAAAAUAGAAAAUUAUAUUUUCAUCCUUUUUAAAUUAUUAAAUUAUAAAUUUAUAUAAUAAAAUUACACUUUAACCUUUUAAAAUGAAAAAAAAAAUUGUUCAACCUUUUUAAAACUGAUGAAAUUAUAAAUUAAUAAAUGAAAAAAAAAGAGAAUGAGACGAAACUUGUUGAUCAAGCUAGUUGGAUAGAGAAUUAAGUAAAGGUGCUCAUGGGUAAGGUUGAACCCAAUAAAAGAUUUAUGCCUCAGCUUGGCCCACUCGUUUUAAUUUUUUUAAAUUUUUUUAAAUUUUUUUAAUAUAAUUUUUAAAUAUAUAUGAUACAUUAAAAAUACUAAAAAACAUUAAAAUAAAUAUUUCCCAACAAACUAAUUUUUUUUUAAAAAUAUGUAUACUUAAAUAACAUUAAAGUAGACACUGUAAAAUGGUAAUAAAAUAGGAAGAAAAUGACAAGAAACUAGCAUUAAAACAAUAAAAAAAUAACAUAUUUUUUUGUCCUUUUGUGAUUCGGGCUAGGGUUGGGCCAAAAAUGUCUUACCCGAGACUCGGCCUAUUUUCAAAACUAGAUUUUUUUUUGCCCAAGUCAAUUUUUUAGGUCUAUAUUUUUACUUAAACCCUUAUAUUUCUCGGACGAGCCAAAUGACCCAAUCUAUGAGUAAGUCUAGAAUCAAGCAAGAUACUGGUCCAGAAGAAAAGGAUAGACAAAUUGAAUCGAAUAGUAAAAUCGAUUUUUUUUAUAUUUUUAAUAUAACUUUAAUAUUUUUUAAGAUUCUAUAUAAUUUAAACGAAUGAACUAUUCAACCGAAAAUGAGGAUCUAAUCGAUUCCAUCACCUAGUUAUAAAAAUCUUUAACACUUAUAAACUCCACAAAAUAUUCUUUUUAAAAUUCCUUAAAUUACCUGUCCCGCUGAUGUGAUUGUGGCUCUUUUAUCUCGGCUGGGUUGACAACAGUGUCGUCGAUGAACCUUUUGAUUGAAUCCAUGAACUUUUUGCCAUCCCCCGAGCUUGUAAGCAAUUCAGGAACACGAAAAGGUGAUUGGUUUUCCAACAAGAACAGAUCCGAGUACACAAAUGUCAGCAAAUCGUUUUUAAUGAAAUUCGUUCGACUUACGAUCAUAAUCUUGGCCGUAACGCAUAUAAACUGCUUGUAAAAUUGCGCAGCCGUCAAUUCCUUUGGAUCAUAGCUUUUCUUCAAGCCAUCCGGCUCUGUCUUCAUGUUGUUGUACAAGGUAUCAUUAUCGAUGCCAAUUUUUUUAACGAAAUUUGCUGCUAAAUUGAGCUUGAGCUUCUCGGACUCGUGGAGGGUGGGAUCAUCGUGGUGGAGUGGGCCAAUUGAGAUCACUUUCGGCUUGAAAUAUUUCCGGAAAUCUUCGUCACGGCGAAGGGUUGCUGGGACUCUUUUGUCAAUAGUUUGGCUUUGGGGUCGAGAUGGUCCCCUUCGAAAGCUUCGUCUAAUGACCAGCAAUUCCGUGAUUCGCCAUUGCUGUGAGUGAAGUCUGUACCCGGUAUUGGAAUGAUCGUCUCUAGGGGAUUGUUGUUCGUGUUGUUAUUGAUGACUGUUUGAUCAGUGGAAACUACUCCACCGGGAGCUCUGACGGCGCCGCCUCCUUCUGUAACACCCCUAUACCAUGUUUGACUUAAGGAACCUAAUAUAAGAAUAUUACAUUUGAUGCCAAAGUAAUUCUUGGCUAAUUACUAUUAUAUUUGAACAUAAAAACAGACAAAUAAUAAAUUUAAAUAAUUUAUAUUUAAAUCCAUUACUACUACUUGGGACAUAAUUUUUUUUAAGUACAUGCCAUUCUAUUCAAAAUUUUAAAACAUACCCGUUGUUGCUUGAAGAUGUGAUGAGAUGAAAGCUUACAAUCUCAAAUUCGACUCUCAAAAAUUUAUGUACCUAAUUUGCGCAAGGAAACAAAUCGUACAAUGAGUAUACACCCAGUGUUAUUACUAUAAUUCAAAUACUUAAGGUAAAAACAAUAUAUAUACACAUUAAAUCUUACCACUAUUUUACCUUCAAUAAAUCAUUCAUGCAUUUAAACUUUAAAUUUAUUCUAAUAAUAUGUAUCUUAAAUAGCUUUUCUUUAUUUUAAUUUAUAUAUCUACUUAUUAUAUCAAUAUUCAUUUCAUGCAUUUCAUCAAUAACCAUUUCAUAAAACUAUUAUUUCAUAUAUUUCAUUUCUAUAUCCUAAUUCAAUAAUUUAUUCUAUUCCAUAUCUAAAACCUUACAACAUUAGUCUUUCAAUAAUUAUUUAAACCAACAUUUUUCAAUAAAAAUAAUUAUAAUUAAUUCAUAAGAUUAUAUCCAACUAACUCAUACACUAUUUCAUUAUUUCCUAUUCAUUCUAUUUUCACUUCUUAUUUCGAUAUCUCAAUUUCAAUUCACAUUUCAAUUCAUAAUUUCACUUUCUCAUACUUUCAAUAGCUCAAUCCAUCAAUUCAUUUGAUUUUUUCAUUUCAUUUAUUCAACUGAUUUCAAAAUCAAUAAUUCGAUAUUUUAGCAAAUUCAUGAACCUUAUGUUCAUGCUUCAAAUCUCGCAUCUUAAUGCCGUUCACAAUUCAACUCAUAAUUUCUUUCUCAUAUCUCUAAAAGUACGAUCAAUCAAAUUUAUUUAAUUUUCUCAUUUCAGUUAUUCACCUUAUUAACAAACCCGGACUUUGACGGAUACACGAAUUCCAACCCAAACACACCAGUACGGCAUAUUGUGCCUAAAACGGUACAUAGUACCUGAUCAGUAUACGACACAUAAGUGCCUGAAAUGACACACGAGGUGCCUAAUAUGACACACGAGGUGCCUGAAAUACGCAAAGCCGAUAUAUCCCGGACUCUUAUAAAUCCUAUGGCAUGCCAAUUAUAUCCGACUCAGCCCGACUAGAUAAUAGGGUAUUUCAAUUCUCAAUUCACUUUCAUUUCCAAUUCAAUAUCACUUUUCAAUUACAAUUUCUCAUUCAAAUCAAUAUACAAUUCAAUUGUACAUACACAUUCAUCAUUCAAUUCAAUUCUCAUUCAUUUCAAAAUCAAUUUUUCACUUUCUAAUCAAUAAACAAUUCAAUACCAAUACAUAUUUCAGAUAAUCACAUAUAAUCAUAUUUCGAUUCAAUUCAAACCACUUUUCAAUCAAUACACAAUUCACAUAUUCACACAUAUUCAUAAAUUAAUUCACUUUUAUUUAAUUCAUAUUUUUAAUUCAUUUUCCAAUCAAAUUCAAAUCACUAAUUACUUUUCAAUCAAUAUACAUUUCAAAUACUCACAUAUUUUCUUCAUUCAAUUCAAUUUGAUUCAAUUAAAAUCACUUUUAGUUUCCAAUCAAUAUAAUUUCAAAUAUUCACAUAAUUCGUAAUUCAAUUACUUAAAUCACUUUUAAUUUCCAAUUUGUUCACAUUCAAUUUCAAUAGCCAUAAACAUUUUUGAAUCAAUUUCAUUCAAAUCAAUAUCAUCAUUUCAAUUGCUUACCUAAUUUUAUUUGCCAUGCAUUUUAAUUCAAAUAUAACAAUUAAUAAUAAAUAGAUUUGAAUUAUAGUAGUACAAACCCGGAUUUGUUCGAUUACUCCUCGAUAACGUUUCCUUUCUUUUCGGUGCCGAUGCCUCGAUUUCUUUGGUAACUACAAAAAUAAUAAUAAUAAUUUACACUUAUUAAUAACAGCACUAAUUUAUAAUAAUGAUUGAAUUUCUAUUCAAUUUAUAUCCUAAUUCCAAUUUAAUCCUAAUUAACUCAUUUACUUUUAUAAUUCAAUUCAUACUUCAUUUCGAUUCAAUUUCCUUCCAUAUUUCACUUAACUAUCUAAUGUUCAUAAUAAAAUUAUAAUUUAAAAUUUCUUUCAAUUUAGUCCUUUCAACACAAAACUUAUAGCUUCUUUUACAAUUCAAUCCCUUACCAAAUAUAACUUGAAAUUCAUUCAAUUAAAUCCCUAAUUCAUCUUUUUGUUCAACAUGAACUAUACUUAUAAACCUAUGAACUUUCAAAGUAUCAACUUAAUUUCAUCAAAACCUUGUUCUAAAGCUUGUAAAACAUCAAAAUUAAGUAAAAAUGACUUAAUUGACUUACCUAUUAAAGUUUUAACCUUCAAACCCUAGUUUUUCCCCAUUUUCUUUUCUUUCCCUUUUCUUUCUUCUUGUUUUCGAAUGGCUUCUGCUAUUCUUUCUUUUGCUUUCUUUCUUUAUUUCAUUUCAUUUAUAUAUAUAUAUAUAAUAUUAGUUAAUAAUGAUAAUAAUGAUAAUAAUAAUUAUAAUAAAUAUCUUUUAAUAACACAUAUUUACAUUACAUUUGUCACCACUUAAUUUGUUUAUCGUACACAAAAAUCUUAUAAUAUAAUUAUUUAAUUAAUAACUAUCUUUUACUUAAUUUUCAAGUAAAUAAAUAAAUAUAAUACAAAUGUAUAUAUUUACAUUAUUUCAAUUGUCACUAUCCAAUUUUUUUAUUAGUUAUCUAAUAAAUAUCUUUUACUUAGUAAUAAUAAAUAAUAAAUAUCUAUUUACUAAUUAAAUAUAAGUAUUACAAAUGUACAUAUAUUUUUUUUACAAGUGUACAAUAUCAUCACCACCCAUUUGGCAAAAUUUUGAUUUAUUCAUAUAAUAUAAUAUAAUAUUUUUAAUUUAUAACUAAUAUAAAUUGCCAUAUAAUAAAAUAAUUAUAUACAUAAUAAUUUAAUAAUAAUUAAACAAUAAAAAUUUUAGAUUUUUAUCAACAUUUGCCGCCUCAUUUAUGGUGAAUGGUAUAUUUUCCAUUUUGGUCCCCCUUUCUUUUUAUUAAUCUAAUUUAGCCCUUAAUAUUUAUAAUUUUACCAAUUUGAUUUUUAUUCUUUUUAGUUAAAUUUAAUUCUCUACCUAGUGUCAAAUUUGACUAUUGAUCUUUUAGAAAAUUGUCGAAUUAAUGUUUUGUUCUUUGCUUUCAAUUUGGUUCUGUUCUUAAGCAAAUUUCUGCUUUGUUUCUUCUCCAAGUCACGAGUCUUGUUGUUCAAGUCAUAGCUGAACUAGCUUGCUUGUUGUUCAUAACACCAACAACCUGUUCUCGGCUGGGUUGAUAACAGUAUCAUCGAUGAACCUCCGGAUUGCAUUCAUGAACAUUUUGCCAUCACCCAAGCUUGUAAGCAAUUCAAGAACACGAAAAGGUAAUUGAUUUUCCAACAAGAACAGAUCCGAGUACAAAAAUGUCAGUAAAUCAUUUUUAAUUAACAAAUUACCAUCAUCAUCAUCAUUAUCGUAACGCAUGUCAACUGCUUGUAAAUUUGCGCAGCCGUCAACGAUGAACAUCCAAGCCAGUUCCUCGUUAUCGUCUCUAUACUUCUCUAAUUCCUGUGGAUCAUAGCAUUCCUUCAAGCUAUCCAUCUCUUUCUUAAUUUUUCUGUACAAGGAUUUCUUAUCGACGCCAAUUUUUUUGACGAAAUGUGCUGCUAAUUUGAGGUUGAGCCCCUUGGAUUCACGGAGGGUGAGAUCAUCGUGGUGGAGUGGGCCGAUUGAGAUCACUUUCAGCUUGAAAUACUUCUUGAAAUCUUCGUUACGGAGAAGGGUUGAUGGGACUUUUUGUAUUAAUGGUUUGUAUCUAAGGGUGGGUUGGCCACCAAAAGCUUUGUCUAAUGACUGGAGCUUCGCUACUUCGCCAUCGCUGAGAGGGACGUCGGUGAACCACAUAUCAAUUCCCACGUAAUCGUUGUUGGUGUUGUUGUCGAUGAUUGUUUGAUUAGUGGAAACUGCUCCGGCGGCGCUGCCUCCUUCCUCCAUGGACGACAUUUUCAGGCUGACCGGCUCGAAGUAAUUAACAAGGUGAUUUUGAAAACUUGUUUUGGCUGAUUGAGUGAUGUUGGAAAAAAGGUGGCAAAAUGGCUACGAUGAUAACAAAUCUUCUAUAGCUUACAUAAAGAGGCGAAUAUAGGGGAAUGUAAAAUUGUUAUUUAGGCCCUUAAUAUUUUUUAAAAUUUUAAAUUAGUAAAAGUGAAAUUACAUUUUGGCCUUAUAAAAUUAUAAAAAUUCAAUUUAAUCUUUUAAAAAUUAUAAAGAUAUAGACUACAAAAAAUUAAAAUCUCAUUCGAUCCACCCUAAAAAAUUAUUCGGGCUUCGCCACUGCUUACAUAAUAAACAUAUGGAAAAUACUUUUGGUGUAAUUCAAAUUUACCCCUUAUAGUCAAUUUAAUUUUCAUUUUUUUAAUUUAAUUUUCUAUCUUUUGGAAGAGUUGAAUUUAACUAUCAAUUUAAAUUAAUAUUUUUUAACGAAAAUAGUGACUAAAAUAUUAAAAUAUUAAACAUGACAACUCAAACGGCAAUCCACAUCUAUAUGUUUUUUUUAUUUAUUUCUUAUUUUUAAAUUAUUUAUUGAUGUGACAUAUAAUAAAAGUAUUGUUAUAUUAGCAUGAAGUACACAUGGAAGGCCACACGAGUUGUGACACCAAUAUCGUUAAAAAUUAAUAUUUUAGUUAGCAUAUCUGUUAAAGAAAAGCAAAUGAACUCUUUUUUCAAAGGUUAAUGGCUAAAUUUAGCUCAAAUGAAAAAAAAAAAAGGCCAAUUUGAUAAAAAAGGUAAAUGUCAAGAGUUAAGUUUAACAUUUAUACAAGUACAAAUAUAUGUCUGGAUUAAUCUAGAAAGAACAAGACAAACUCUACAGGUGAUAUACAAAUGUGAUGAGAGUGGAACCUGCACAUCACAAUUGAGAAUAAUAUUAUAGAACCUAAAUACUCAAAAACCUAAAACCUUCCCCUUAACCAAGAAGCUAAGACGCCAUGGAUAAUUUUAUAUCUACAACACUUAUGAAUUUCAUAUGCUUAAUAAUAGUUUACAAAAAGACAAGUAAAGAACACUUACUUCGGUUGAUGUAUGGUAUAAUAAGUCUGCAAAGCACUAAGAGUAAGUGCAGCAAUGGCACCCAAAAAUGCUAAAAACGUCCAAGGACUCCUAAAAUAAGUAUGAUAACCUUGAGCUGCAUGAUUAAUCCACAUAGUCUUACAAUGAUUAUGUAUUUUCUCUUUAACCCCACUGUAAAUUGUCGGACUAGGAACCAAAUCAGUGUUCAUCUUAUUGAAAAGCUUAGCCAUUUCUUCAUCACUGCCCAAUCCAUUGUAUAGUAUGCCGGAGUCUCUAAGGUCUUUAACAUCUUCGGCUUCAUCGAUCAAUAAAUCAAGGAAACACAUAUAUGAAGUGACGGUGAAAUCGUUGUCGAAAUCCGGACACAUUUCGUAAGCUAUUAAGUUCAUGGUUGAAUCAUCGACGGAGAUCGGCGGUAACCGUAAUUUUCCGAAGAAGAAGAUAUGGUUGAAACUGAUGUCGGUUAAAUUACUUGUUUCGCUGGCUUCUAACCAUAUCCCGGCCUUUUUAAGCUCUUUUACGUUACCAAUGGUGCGUGAAUGGUACCGUUUUGUUCUUUUUCUUCUUGCUGCUGCUUUGCCAAAUCCGUGUCGAGUGAAUUCCCAAAGAAAACACCAGCACCGUAUUCGUACUUUUCUGAGAAGGAGUCUUUCUCGUAGUAGAUGCAAUAAGUGAAUUCGCUCUCCUUCUUUUUGCUGCUUCCACCACCAUUCCCUACACCAAAAUCUGUGUUAGUCGGAAGCCAAGCUACAAUUUCUCUUUUCUCUUUUCUUUUUUUCUUUUUUGUUGUUAAUACAAAAAUAUUAAAAAUCAAUCUAUACUUGUUAAUCAAGUUGGUUGAAUAAAAAAUUAAAUAAAAUUGAAGUUAUACCAAUUGAAUUAAAGAAUGGAAUAAAUUUCUUUUUAUAUUUUUAAUAUUUUUAAAAAUUUAUAUAAUUAAACUGAAUUAACUAAUCAAAUGGAAAAGAGAGUCUAAUAGAUUCCAUCACCUAUGUAGUUAUAAAAACCUUUUAACAUUUAUAAACUCCACAAAAAUGAUUCUUUAUUUAAUUCCCUAAAUUACCUGUCCUCGCCUGGGUUGAUAACAGUUUCGUCGAUGAACCUUUGGAUUGCAUUCAUGAACUUUUUGCCAUCCCCCGAGCUUGUAAGCAAUUCAAGAACACGAAAAGGUAAUUGGUUUUCCAACAAGAACAGAUCCGAGUACACAAAUGUCAGCAAAUCGUCUUUAAUAAACAAUUUACCAUCAUCAUCAUCAUCAUCAUCAUCACCGUAACGCCUGUAAACUGCUUGUAAAAUUGCGCAGCCGUCAACGAAGAAAAUCCAAGCCAGUUUCUCGUUAUCGUUGCUAUAGUUCUCUAAUCCCUUUGGAUCAUAGCAUUUCUUUAACUCAUCGAUCUCUGUCUUCAUGUUGUUGUACAAGGUAUCCUUAUCGACGCCAAUUUUUUUGACGAAAAGUGCUGCUAAUUUGAGCUUGAGCUUCUCGGAUUUAUGGAAGGUGGGAUCAUCGUGGUGGAGUGGGCCGAUUGAGAUCACUUUCGGCUUGAAAUACUUACUGAAAUCUUCGUGACGACCAAGGGUUGAUGGGACUCUUUGUAUCAAUGGUUUGGCACGGAGGUCGAUUUCGUCGCCGUCGAAAGCUUCGUCUAAUGACCGGAGAUUCACUACUUCGCCAACGCUGAGAGGGACGUCCAUAUCAAUGCUCACGGAAUCGUUGUUGUCGGUGAUUGUUUGAUCAGUGGGAGCUGCUCCGACGGCGCCGCCUCCUUCCUCCGUGGAGGACAUUUUCAGGCUGAGCGGUUGGAAGUAAUAAACAAGGUGAUUUUGUAAACUGUUUUUGGCAGAGUGAGUGAUGUUGGAGAAAAGGUAGCAAAGUGGAUAAGAUGAUGACAAAUAUUUUGUAGCUUACAUGAUAAACAUAUAUGGGAAAUACUUAAGGCGUUAGUGUUUAUAUUUUUACUAAUAUAAACAAUGAUAAAAAAGAAAAGUUAAAUAGUGACAAAUACUAAAAUUGAGAAUAAUAUUAUGGAACCUAAAUACUCAACACUACUCAAAACCUUCGCCUUUAACCAAGAAACUAAGACCCUAUCUGAGGGAGAAUUUUAUAUCUACAACACUUCCUAAAUUUCAUUAGCUUAAUAAUAGCUAUUCAAAUAUAUUUUUUCAUUUUAUUACUGACUUUAAUAUUUAAAUUAUCAUUAUAUUGCAUGAUUUAUUCCAAAUAUUUACAUAUAGUAAUUGCAUUUGUAAUUCUACCUAACUAUGAAAAAUCUCAAAUUUGCAACAUGUUAUUCACAUGCCAACCAACCAAUAUAUUAUUCCUACCAACCAAUUUAUCAUUCACAUUCCAACUUUCUAAAUCCAUCAAAUAUUUCAUAUUCAUGUACUAACAAAGAUCAUGCCAAGAACCCACAUGCAAAGUCAUUGUAUAGUACCACAUUUAACUCAAUCGGACUUUUACACAACUAAAGAUUACUCCAAACGUUUAUAUGCAUGUCACAAUCCUUCACUCAAAAUGAUAAAAAAAACUAUUAAAUUGACGAUAAAAUAGUUUAAGCUUCGACCGAUUCAACCGACGUGUUCUAGCAUAUAAUAUGUUUAGUAAGCUCAUAUGGAAACUAAAACUUACCUAGAUCAAUUGAACAUAAAAAAUUACUCAAUAAGCUAUCGAAUUAAUUUUUCCCUGACACUUAUAUACAUAUAGUACAUCUAAUAAAAUUUCUGUUAAAGAAAAGCAAUUUGACUCUUUUUCUAAAAAGUUAAUAACUAAAUUUAGCUCAAAUAAAAAAAAAGAAUAAAAGUCAAUUUGAUAAAAAAUAUAAAUAUUAAAAAUUAAAUUUAUCAUUAUAUCUUUUUUAAGUAAUUAUUUGUGGUGAGCCAUCAUGUCUGACGAUGAUUUUUAAAUACUGUAUUAAUUAUAUAUAGCACAUCAUAUUUCACUAUAAUUUCUAUAGACUUUUUAAACAUGGGGUUAAUUGUUUAUGGCCCAUUGCCCAUGUUGCUUUUAUUAAAUUUUGGGUGAACUUCUCAUUUUGGUCAAAAAAAAAUUGUAUUCUCAGUAUAAAACAAAAAACUAAUCUUUAAUGUUUAUGGCCAAACCCCACCUCUCCUAUCCUAUAAUAAUGGUUCUUGGCUUCUUCUAUCCUACACCUCAAUUAUUUGGAUUAGAUUGAAAAACAAUUGACACUUGAUUUGAUUGUGAAAUAAAGUUAAAUUUUAAAUUUAUAAUAUUUAAUUUGAGUGUGAAUGAAUUUUUGACUUAAUUGAAAAUUUAAAAUUUUAAGUUCGAGUCGUAUUUAAUUAUGUGUGUAUAUCGUGUAUAAAUUUUGUUCAAAUUUAUUUUGAUUUAAUUUUCAUACUAUAUAUUCUUAAUUAAAUUCGGAAUAUAUUUUGAUUAUCAAUUUAACCAUACAUUGUAACGAUGGAUUAAAAUUAUAGUUAAUUAUAUAUUGAAACUAAAUAAUUAGUUUAAGGAAUUAAAAGAUAUUAUUAUAUUUUAUAAAAUUUGAAUAGAUUCAUAAUUAAUUCGAGAUUAAAAAAUGGGAGAAGAAAAGCUAAAACCAAACCUUUUUUACGGUUGGAACUAAACCCCAUGCGGUGUGGAAAAUUGCAAGUUUCCAGAAUAUACCUACACUUACUAAUUAUAAUAAAUAUCUUUUACUUAGUAAUAAUAAAUAAUAAAUAUAUAUUUACUAAUUAAAUAUAAAUAUUACAAAUGUACAUAUAUUUUGUUUACAAUUGUACAAUAUCAUCACCAUCCAUUUGGCAAAUUUGAUUUGUUCAUAUAAUGUUAAUUUAUAACUAAUAUAAAUUACCGUAUAAUAAAAUAAUUAUGUACAUUAUAAUUUAAUAAUAAUUAAACAAUAAAAAUCUUAGAUUUUUUAUCAACAUUUGCCGCCUCAUUUAUGGUGAAUGGUAUAUCUCCCAUUUUGGUCCCCCUUUCUUUUUAUUAAUUCUUUUUCCUAAUUUCUCCUAAUUAAGCUAAAUUCACUUAAUUAAAUCCUAAUUAAACACACAACUAGCCUCACAAAUAUUCUUAAUAAAACAUUUACAAACUCGGUUUACUAAGACAGAAGCCCUAUAACUCACUUUUUCGGUGCCCGUGAAUUUUGGGCCAUUACACAUUCUUCCGUGGAUAACAUUUUUAGGCUGAGCGGUUCGAAGUAAUUACCAAGGUGAUUUUGUAAACUGUUUUUGGCUAAGUGAGUGAUGUUGGUGAAAAGGUGGCAAAAUGGCUACAAUGUUUCUAUAGCUUAUAUAUAAUGAACAUACGGAAAAUAUUUUUGUGUAAUAUCAAAUUUAGCCCUUAAUAUUUAUAAUUUUACCAAUUUGAUUCUUAUUCUUUUUAGUUAAAUUUAAUUCUCUACCUUUUGAAAGUGUCAAAUUUUCUUGGCUGGAAGCUCACUGCAUGGAAGCCAAAAUCAAAACAAACUUUUGAUGGUUUAAUUGUUUUUGAGCCCUUCAAUUUCAGGUGCUAUGAGAAAUGGAUUACAACCUCAUCUUGUCGUUAUCCCAAAAUCAAAACAAGCAACUCUUGGUUGAAAGUUGAAACCAAGGGCCAAGUCAAAAUUGUUUUAGGAUGAGUCCAAAAUGAAUAAUGAAUUUGAAGGUUCAAAAUAAAAUUUUAUUAAUAUAUAAAUUUAUAAUUUCAUAAAUUUUAAAAGGAUUAAAUGAUAAAUUUACUAAUUUAAGAAGACAAUAGGGAUGGUCAAAUAUUCUAAUUGAACCUAUCUGCGAUCGGAUCGGGAUGGAUUUUUUUAAUUAAAAAAAUUAAAUAGAUUGAAUCGAAAUUCUAGGAGUUACAAAAUUCUCAUAAAUAACAAGAGUUUACAAAAAGUACACUUACUUUGGUUGAUGUAUGGUAUAAUAAGCCUGCAAAGCACCGAUAAAAAGUGCACCAAUGGCACCCACAAAUGCGAAAAACGUCCAACGAGUCCUAAAAAAAGUACGGUAAACUUGAGCUGGAUAUGUAAUCCACAUAUUGUUAUGAUGAUCAUGUAUUUGCAGUUUAACAUGUCUGUAAAUCAUCAGACUAGGAACCAAAUCCAUGUUCAUCUUCUUGAUAAGCUUAGCCACUUCUUUAUCACUCCCAAAUCCAUGGUAUAGUAUGCCUGCGUCUCUCAGUUCCUUAACAUCUUCGGCUUCAUCGAUCAAUGAAUCAAGGAAACCCAUAUAUGAAGUGACGGUGAAAUUGUUGUAGAAAUCCGGACAAUUUCGUAAGCUAUUAAGUUCAUGGUUGAAUCAUCGACGGUGAGAGGCGGUAACCGUAAUUUUCCGACGAAGAAGUAAUGGUUGAAACUGAUGUCGGUUAAACAACUUGUUUCGCUUGCUUCUAACCAUAUCCCGGCGUUUUUAAGCUCUUUUACGUUACGAAACGGGUGUGAAUGGUGAGGUUUUAUUCUUGUAUGGUUUCUGCGAUUUGUGAAGGAUAUGCAAAACCUAGAAGGCCAUGGUUUUUCUUUUUUGAAAAGGAGUCUUACUCGUAGUAGAUGCAAUAAGUGAAUUGGCUCUUUAUUUUUUUCUUGCAGCUGCUGCCACCAUUCACUAGAGCAAAAUCUGUGUUAGUCGGGAGCAAGCUAAAAUUAAGGUUUUCAAUGGUUGAAUCAAAUCAUUAUUAUUUAAUAAAAAAUUAUUUAAAUUAUUAAAUUACAUUUUAAUCCUUUUAAAAAUUAUUAAAUUAUAAAUUUGUAUACAAUAAAAUUAUAUUUUGACUCCUCAAAAUGAAUAAAAAAUUGUUUAAACACUUUUAAAAAAUGAUGACAUCAUAAAUUAAUGCAAAAAAAAAAUCUAAGAAUUAAACCAAACUUGUCUAUCGGCCUAAUUAAACAGAGAAUCAAGCAAGGUACUAAUCCAGAAUAAUAAAUUAAAUCCAUUGAAUCUAAUCAUCAAAUCGAUUUUUUUUAUAUUUUUAAUAUAUCUUUAAUAUUUUUAAAAUUUUAUAUAAUUGAAUCGAAUAAACUAAUCAACCAAAAAUGAGACUCUAAUGGAUUGUAUCACCUAUAUAUGUAGUUGUAAAAAUCCUUUUAACAUUUAUAAACUCCACAAAUUGAUUCAUUUAUAAAUUCCUUAAAUUACCUGUCCUGCUGAUGUGAUUGUGGGUCUUUAACAGUGCCGUUGAUGAACCUUAUGAUUGCCUCCAUGAAUUUUGUGCCAUCCUUCGAUCUUGUAAGCAAUUCAAGAACACGAAAAGGUAAUUGGUUUUCCAACAAGAACAGAUCCGAGUACACAAAUGUUAGCAAUUCGUUUUUAAUAGAAAAUUCGUUCGACGUACGACAACGAUCUUGGCCGUAAAGCAUAUAAACUGCUUGUAAAAUUGCGCAGCCGUCAACGAAGAACAUCCAAGCCAGUUUCUCGUUAUCGUUGCUAUAGUUCUCUAAUCCCUUUGGAUCAUAGCAUUUCUUUAAGCCAUCGAUCUCUGUCUUCAUGUUGUUGUACAAGGUAUCCUUAUCGACGCCAAUUUUUUUAACGAAAAGUGCUGCUAAUUUGAGCUUGAGCUUCUCGGAUUUAUGGAGGGUGGCAUCAUCGUGGUAGAAUGGGCCGAUUGAGAUCACUUUCGGCUUGAAAUACUUACUGAAAUCUUCGUGACGACCAAGGGUUGAUGGGACUCUUUGUAUCAAUGGUUUGGCACCGAG
rnacentral:lncRNA from 1 species